rnacentral:lncRNA from 1 species
UGGCUGAGCUGUGGUACGCUCGCCAUGGCGUCCUCGACGGGGGGGUUGGACCACGGGUUCACGUUCACGCCGCCGCCGUUCAUCACGUCGUUCACCGAGCUGCUGUCGGGGGGCGGUGGGGACCUGCUCGGCGCCGGCGGUGAGGAGCGCUCGCCGAGGGGGUUCUCCAGAGGCGGAGCGAGGGUGGGCGGCGGGGUGCCCAAGUUCAAGUCCGCGCAGCCGCCGAGCCUGCCGCUCUCGCCGCCGCCGGUGUCGCCGUCGUCCUACUUCGCCAUCCCGCCGGGGCUCAGCCCCACCGAGCUGCUCGACUCCCCCGUCCUCCUCAGCUCCUCCCAUGUGCGUUCCGCGUGACACACCUUCAUCUUCUUCUUCUACCUUUAGUGCGCAAUUGCUGUGUAGUGUGGUGCUGAUGAUGAUCCAUGGCGUUUGUGCGUGUUUGUGCUUUUCAGAUCUUGGCGUCCCCGACCACCGGUGCAAUCCCGGCUCAGAGGUACGACUGGAAGGCCAGCGCCGAUCUCAUCGCUUCUCAGCAAGAUGACAGCCGCGGCGACUUCUCCUUCCACACCAACUCCGACGCCAUGGCCGCGCAACCGGCCUCUUUCCCUUCCUUCAAGGUACGUACAAAUGCUUCAGCUCAUCUAGCUCAACCCAAGCUGAAUAAACUGUUGACAGUCUAGCUCACCUUGGUUCAUGUACGCUUGUGCUGGAGCAGGAGCAAGAGCAGCAAGUGGUCGAGUCGAGCAAGAACGGCGCCGCCGCCGCGUCGAGCAACAAGAGCGGCGGCGGCGGGAACAACAAGCUGGAGGACGGGUACAACUGGAGGAAGUACGGGCAGAAGCAGGUGAAGGGGAGCGAGAACCCGAGGAGCUACUACAAGUGCACCUACAACGGCUGCUCCAUGAAGAAGAAGGUGGAGCGCUCGCUCGCCGACGGCCGCAUCACCCAGAUCGUCUACAAGGGCGCACACAACCACCCCAAGCCGCUCUCCACCCGCCGCAACGCCUCCUCCUGCGCCACCGCCGCCGCCUGCGCCGACGACCUCGCGGCGCCCGGCGCGGGCGCGGACCAGUACUCCGCCGCGACGCCCGAGAACUCCUCCGUCACGUUCGGCGACGACGAGGCCGACAACGCAUCGCACCGCAGCGAGGGCGACGAGCCCGAAGCCAAGCGCUGGUAAGCCUCACAUCAUCACUCAAAUCAGCAAUCGAAGCGUAAUAUCUCCAUGCGUGUGCGUGUGUUCUUCUUGGGUCUCAUGGAUGUCAUGGUUUUCAGGAAGGAGGAUGCUGACAACGAGGGCAGCUCCGGCGGCAUGGGCGGCGGCGCCGGCGGCAAGCCGGUGCGCGAGCCGAGGCUUGUGGUGCAGACGCUGAGCGACAUCGACAUCCUCGACGACGGCUUCCGGUGGAGGAAGUACGGCCAGAAGGUCGUCAAGGGCAACCCCAACCCAAGGUAAUCAAUCAAUCAAGCUGAUCAAAAUCCGUCGAUUAGUCGAUUAAUCAUAUCUGUUCUUGCGUCUCUAAUAAUCAAAUCUGUUCUUGAAUCGCAGGAGCUACUACAAGUGCACGACGGUGGGCUGCCCGGUGCGGAAGCACGUGGAGCGGGCGUCGCACGACACGCGCGCCGUGAUCACCACCUACGAGGGCAAGCACAACCACGACGUCCCGGUCGGCCGCGGCGGCGGCGGCGGACGCGCCCCGGCGCCGGCGCCGCCGACGUCGGGGGCGAUCCGGCCGUCGGCCGUCGCCGCCGCCCAGCAGGGGCCCUACACCCUCGAGAUGCUCCCCAACCCCGCCGGCCUCUACGGCGGCUACGGCGCCGGCGCCGGCGGCGCCGCGUUCCCGCGCACCAAGGACGAGCGGCGGGACGACCUGUUCGUCGAGUCGCUCCUCUGCUAGUCGAGCCGAGCCGAGCCGAGCUGAGCUGGGCCCCACAUCCCCCUGCUCGCCACGUGGCGUAUUUUCGCCUCGCCGUAUACGUACGGCCGUAUAGCGUACGUAUACACGCUCGCACGCCCUGCCCAACACGGCAAUACACACAUACAUACUCUCGUACACACGUAGUAGCAUACAUAUACAGUAUAGUAGGUGGUAGUGGUAGCUAGCUAGGGAGUGAGAUCCAAUUUGUUGAUUCGUUGCAGGCCACUGCCACGUGGGCCACACCGGAAACAGUACACGCGUAUACACCACACUUGGGAUACGCGUACGUACGCACAUGUACACGUAGUUUUGUGCCUUUGUAACUGCUGAGAGACAGGUCAAAUAAGACUGAUGAAUUUUUCAUUUCUUAAAAUUCCACUCGUGUGAAUUACUAGUAGUAUAAAUAUCUAUACAUGAUGUUUUUACAAUCUGUACCGAACUGAGAAAGAGGAAAAAAAAGAGAGAGAUUUUUUUUUAGUGUCUUGGCAUGUGGCUCUCAUUUAUGUGACGUGACGCUGCGAUUUUUGUUUUUAUUAUUAUGGGGGUGUGGUAGUUGAGCAGCUUCUGCUACUACUCCUGCUGGAAACCUUAUCGCGUCGUCCAAGUUGACGUGUUGCGUAGUAGCAUCUUCUUCGUUUCUCACCCAGUAUAAUUAAUUAUAUUAAUAUAUUAAUCAGUUAGUUUAUUGAGGCGUUGGGCAGGAGAUGAUGACAGUGAUGCGUGCUAAUCCAACAACGAGUAAUCUGGGCGGGUUCGUACAUUAGUUGGCUAAUUGCCGCCUAACUAAUUAAAAUGUCCCCUAGCUACAUCAGAUGGCUCAGUGGAUGAAAAGACCAAGUGGCAAGGUGGCUGGGGUCAAGUGGGAACACGCACGCGAUAAACAUUAGGCAUGAGUUGAGUUGAGUUGAGUUGUGAGUGCGAAAUUGCGUCCUAGCUACCCACGAUGAUGAUGCUUGCCGACCUAGCUGUACGUUGCACUGAAAAGAACAUUUUUUUUAUAAGAGAAAAAGAAGAUAUUAACGUGUUUGUGAGUACUAAGAGGGUUCACGUUUCUAACGAUAAGCGAUCGAAACCCGUGGAAUUUUGAGGUUUUGACAUGAUCAUAUUUUGAGGCAAUUUUAAAUGAGUUUCCAAAAAUUCUAUUUUAAAAUAGUAAUUUAGAACAAAAUAUUAUCAGUUAUUCAAAAUUUUUUGGCAAAAACAGUUGUACUUUAAGGGGUUAGGAUUCAGGUGUCGAUUCGAAAGGUAAACUGUGAUAUUAUAUGUCUAUUUGAAGAGAGCACCUCUAGUGUCUUCCGGUUUGUAUUAUAAAACAGGUGAAAUAAUUUUAGAUUAAGCAUUUACACUUUUUAGUCUUAGUGGUCAGGAAAAAAAGGCCCAUCUUUCCCAAACCAUAUGGAUCUCAUUUGAAAUUUGGGACUUUUUAAAGCUUUUAUGGAAGUUGAACCGAUCCAUGUAUAUAUAAGUCUCACAGUGAAAUCAGACGUUGAUUUAUCCAUUAAGGGCACUGAACUGAUCCUUGGAGUUUUUAAGGGCAGCCUGAGUUUCUGCCUAAACAGAGUUCGAUCUGGACUGACCUGCCACAGUUGCCAGCGUAGCUUUCAGAUUAAUUCGAGCGAUUGUUUUUGCGAUUAGCUCCAAAACUAUGGAAGUAUAUUAUUGGGGUUAUUGGAUCACUGUUUCCACGUAAGAAACAGCCGAUUUGAUUAAACGUUUAGUUCGUUCAGACGUCGCUUGGGUACGUAAUAUUUUUAUGACGUCAGGGAUGACUAACGGCAUGACCGUGCACUGAACGGCUGGAGUACGUUAUAUCCUGACCAAUAAACUGACAGGAUAUACACAGUAGUAAUUGGGGUCAGUGGGGUGUUCGACCUGUCAUUGCUUCAUCUCCAAGACUAAAUUUCUUUUUAAAUUUACUAGCAGCAAGUCAAUGCGUCGUCUUUGAGUUUGAGAUGAUGAUGAUAGCAGUAGACUAGUACUAGCACUACUAUAGUUUUGGCCAAAAAAUUUUUUUUUUGGCUAAAAACAUCGUAUCAAAUGUUUAGAUACAUGUAUGUGGUAUUAAAUAUGAGAAAAACAAUUACAUAAUUUGCAUGUAAAUUGCGAGACGAAUAUUUUGAGCCUAAUUACGCCAUGAUUUGACAAUAUGAUGCUACAGUAAACAUUUGCUAAUAAUGGAUUAAUUAGGCUUAAUAAAUUCGUCUCUCAGUUUACAGACGGAAUCUAUAAUUUAUUUUGUUAUUAAUCUAUGUUUAAUACUUUAAAUAUGCGUCCGUAUACUUCAAAAACUUUACAUACCCUGAGACUUCUAUUUUUCUUCUCCCCUGUGCUGGCAAUGGCCGGUCAAAAAGAGAAGCUGCUACGCCUAGUUCGUUAACCCUCUUCUAGAAGAAAAAAAAAUAGUAUCCAGCAAAGUACGUACUACUCCAAUAGCCAGUAAGCAUAGAAAGGCAAUUUAGAUAAUUUUGUUUUUUUGAAAAAGAUAUCACGUUGAUGGGACAGGAGAUCUAGAGAGAAGUUCCGGUUUCCUUCUGGCCAUUAGCGUUGUGUCAAUUCUGACUUCUAGAAGCAAAAUGGACUUGGACUUUGGUGAGUGAGUUGGUCAAGUUGCUCUCUUUCUUUUUUUUUUGUUUUCAAUAAAUAAUACUUCCUCUGUUUUUAAAUAUUUAAUUUUUUAAGUACAUGUUUAACUGUUCAUCUUAUUUACAAAUUUUUGUGAAAUAUGUAAAACUAUAUGUAUACAUAUAAGUAUAUUUAACAAUAAAUCAAAUGAUAGGAAAAUAAUUAAUAAUUAUUUAAAUUUUUUAAUAAGAUGGACGAUCAAACAUAUUUAAAAAGGUCAACGGCGUCAAAUAUUUAGAAAUGGAUGGAGUAAUAAUAAUAUUAGAGGCUCUCUUUCCUAAUUGUCCCCGCUCACUUUUUUUAGGCCUUAUUGGGCUGGCCCAAUCAGAUAAUGGGCCAGAACUAAUUCCGGACCACCGCGUGGUCAGAUCCAAUCAAGAUCUCGAUCUAGUUGGGCCGCAAAGGGUGUUCGUAGAUUGGGCUAGCAGCCCAGAAAUGUGAAUAGGCCGGCCUGUUUCUGUUAGGCCUGAACGGUAAAUAAGUUCACUUCACAGUCCUUACUUUGAGGGCGAGUUUGAAACGCACUGCGUUCGGAACCCUAAGUUCCCAACUACACAUUCUCGUUUUCCGCGCACAUACUUUUCAAAUUACUAAAUGGUAUGUUUCUUUUAAAAUAAUUAUACGAAAGUUGCUUAAAAACACCAUAUUGAUCCAUUUAUUUAAAAAAAUAGCAAAUACUUAAUUAAUCAUGCGCUAAUGGACCGCUCCGUUUUCCGUGCGCACAACCUGUGUUGAGAACACAGCGUUCCGAACGCAGCCUAAACCAUGAUACUAGAUAUAAGGCAUCCCUAAUCUUAUAAAACCAGGUUAAAUUGAAUCCCAAGCUAGUAUUAAGGAUGGUUUUGGCUGACAUGGCAAUAGAAAAAAAUAAAAAACAAAAACCAAUGUGGGACCCACAUGUCAUUCAAAUAACAUGAUUCAUUCCUUAUCCCUCUCUCUUCCCAUCCUUUAUGUCGGUUGGGCGGUGAGGCCAUGAGGGGCUAGAGGUGGAGGCUCAACGCGGCCUGGUAGCAUGAGGUUCUCGAGCCGUCCUACCGACAUCUAGUUUGUCAGUGUCGCGUGGUUCCUCCUGUCUCCACCACCACCGCCCUUCUCCUCAUCACCCGUAGCAGAUGGUGCUUGGCGAGGAGGGGUAGGAGGCGGCGCACGGCGGUGGCCAUCAGGGAGGACCUGGAGAUAGUCCUUGGAUCCAUUCGGGUUAGUGUUGUACAUCUUGGUACGGACCUCAUAGUUUUUUUUUUGAAACUUAAACAUUCAUUAAUAUAAAACAAUAGAGUUCAUGGGAAUAAAUCCCAGUACAUUGCCAAACAGAUAAAGAGAAAGCAUACAACCAUCCGUUAUCAAAGAAACUGCACUAAGGCCACAAUCUUCGUAAUGAAACCACGCAGCAGGGAAGGUGCUCAUCGACAGGGAGCUGUGGCAAUGUCGCGACGAUUGCGACCUUGGGCCUCCUUCAGCGUGCACAACGCUUGAUAAACCGGUAAUCCCCAUCAUGUUGCCUCCACGAUGACGGCACAAAAUAGAGGUCUGCUACUAAGCCGUGGAUUUUGGAGUAAGCAUCCCUAGGCUCAGCAAGAGAUGUCCACGGAGUUCGCCAUUAAAUCUGAGGAGCGUGAGCUCAAGCCGAACAACAAACCCUGCAUGGAACAAGCUAGUCGGAAACAUAUAGGAAGAUGGAACCCAAAUCCAGGUCCCCAAACCCACUGAAGAACUCGAAUGGUGGCAAACGAACUGCUAUCUUUUUGGAUCGACGUACAUGGAUGGGGAAGUGAAAUCCUAUGAAUCUUGACUGAUGGAACCUUGGCAUUGGAAGCUCUCGUCCAGGCACCAGAGAAACCGCCGCCACAUCGCCGACGGGCUAUCAUCAUGCACCAUGAGCUGGGAGCUCCGAGUGACAACAGAUCCAGCCGACGAAGGCCACGAGAAGCUGUUGCAGUCGUUGCUAGGAGCAGAUCGGCGACCUCCUGGCCGAAGACGGAGUUGCAGCCGACGCCGCCACAAGGAGCCAUCUCCAUCCGUCGAUUCUUCCACUGAUCUUCGGAUCUCGCACCUCCACCGCCACCAACCAUCGCUGCCGCCGACCACACCGACACCCAUGGAGACUUGCCGGCAAAAGCACCAACUAGGGACAAACCCUGACAACAGGAAGCACCUGACGAUCUAAUAACAGACCUAACCACACUAUACUAGUAGGGGGAGGUGGCCGGACCCCUCCUCCAACCCUCGCUGGCGGCAAACUGCCGGAAUCAAGGAGGAAGAGGGGCCGGGAGACAAGGGAGAGAGAGCGGCAACUCUAGAGAGGGGAGGAGAAAGAAGACUCGAGAGCGUAGAUAGGAUAGAGGAAGCUCGUACGGACCUCAUAGUGACAAGUGACUCUAACACGUAGUUGGCAAACUAGACUUGUACUUGUCGGGGUGGGAGCGAUUCAUCGGGGAGGAGGAAGACCCAAGCUGCUUGGGGGUCCAGUAGCCGAAAGCAUCACUAGCUUAUGCUCUGAACCAAGUAGCAUGGCGCAUGUGGUCCGGGCACCAUUGAUGAUGAUCCUAACGAUGCUAGUGUCUUGGAGAACAACUUCUAGAACAUGAUGGAGGGGUGUGGGUUCUCCCGGAAGGUCUCCCUCUUGAUCUCCGCCUCAGAGGGGAGGCAACCAUGGAAGGAGGAUGCGUCGCACGUCGCUUGCUGCCCUCCUCGCCGGGCACCAUCCGUUACGAGCGACGAGCAGAAGGGUGGUGGUCGGUGAGAGACAAGUUGGGCGGGGAGAAGGGCACCACUACUGCGAGCUUGACAUGUGGGCGCCUUGUAGGUGACGAAGUGUGCCUCUACUGACUACUGGGCCUCCUCUGUCGCUGUUGUUGGGCACGCUGGCCGCCGUCUCCUCGCCCCUCGAUUGCUCGCGCGCCUCCACCAUAGCCGCUGGCUCCGUUGAGACAAACUCCUGGUACCCCUCGCUCAUCUCGUAUGUGGUUGCAAUCUUUUUGCCCCCCUCCCCCCCGAGGCCACAACUUCCCCACCUAUGUCGCCGUCGUCGAGCUCUUGAUUCGCGUCGAGGUGGACAGGAGAAGCCACGUGGCGGUGGUGGCGGCUAAAUGUUGACGGGGACGUCAAGCUGUGAGGCGAGGACUAUCUCGAAUUCUCGCUGGAGAGAUGUAGAGAAAAAGGGAAAGAUGAGAGAGAGAGGAGGGAGAAAAGAACGGGGAGAGGGAGGAUGACAUGUGUGGCCCACUUUUGUUUUUGUCGUGUAAGCGCACAGUCAGCAUGACUGGACCAGGUUAACAUACCACAUCAGUGAAACCAGAUAUCUAUACUGCUGAAGGACAUAAUUUAACCCAGUUGUGGAAGUUGAGGGCUCAAGAUUUUUGAUAUUGCUAUUUAGGGAUGUGAUUCAAACUUGACAUCAAGAUGAGAGGUCUUCAGUGAACUUAUACCAAACAGUAACAUGGAUUGCUCGCCCACCUUAUUUGGGUCAGAACGAAUGGCGGCCCACGAGCGGGCUCAUUUAGUUGGGCUAGGUCGGUAUUUUGUCUUGACGUAUCGUUCUACUUACGCUGGGCCAGAUCGUGACCGUGAAUUAUGCGGCCCAUUCUAGUCGGGCUGGCCAUGAAUUCCGGCCGAAUAUACGGUCGGUCCAAUCAAUAAGCCGUGAUACGGUAGCACACCCGUUUUAGUUGGGCUGGUUGUGAAUUAUGGCCGAACAUAGUGGGCCCAGUUGUAUGCCACGAUACUGUAGCUCGCCUGUCUAGCUGGAUUGGGGUGGGCCCAAGGGUUUUGGGUCAACAACUUCAAGUCGGAGUCGGACUCCGCAUCAGACCUAACCUGACCUGACCUGCCGGCGAUAAAUAGGCUCCCCCAUCGUGUCGGCGCCAAAUCCUUCCUCUCCUCCUGCUUUCAGUAAACACACUGUUUUCAUUGUUUUCCGAAGGCUCCUGACAAGGUUAAGAACAAGAAAACCUUUUCUUUUUUUUUUGGAAUACGCGAGACGCGCAUUUUUGUAUUAAGAAGGAAUAAAUGUAUUUACAGGAGGGCCAAACAGUUUAAAAGAGAAGGGGACAUGGUACAGGAGGGGGAAUAAAAACAGAAAUCCUAAUCUCCUAAGAAAUUUUGGCGACAUGUCAACCAAAGAAGGAACUACCAUGGCCGAUAUGGCUGCCCUAGCCAUCCGCCAAAGGUCCGCUUCCCCUGACAUAGCCCUGGCAAUCUCCGGCCAGGUCCUGCUCUCUUGGUUAAAGACCCGAUUGUUUCUUUCUUCCAAAUUGUCCAAGCUACCAGCGUGGCGAUGGUGUCGAACCCUCGGCGAUGAUCCUUGAUCAUCUUCUUGCGGCUGUCACACAUCUAGACAUGGAAGGAAUGCUCAUUGAGUGGAAGGCAUUCGGCAUGGCCGAUAGCACUAAGAGCGAUCCACCAAAGUUGCUGCGAUUCCGGGCAAGCGACCAAGAGAUGAUCAAUUGUUUCGACACAUUGAUCACAGAGUGGGCAGCGGUCUGGGUGAGGCAAACCGCGACUUUGGGGGCGGUCCACCGUCCAGCAUCGGUUCAACGCGACCAGCCAAAGGAAGUAACGGCAUCAAUGGGGCGCGAAGGACUUCCAAAUUGGCGCGUGUUGGAAGCGAGUUCUUCCAAAGAAGAGGACACGAUAGGCCGAACGGGAGGAGUACUGUCACGAGUUCUCCCACCGCCAAGAUAGCUUGUCUGGCUCCUCCGUCAGCUGCACAGGUCGAAGGAGGUCCCAUAGAUUGAAGUACUCAAGGAUCGCCUGUACCCCCAGCGCCAUGGAGAUAUCUCGGAUCCAUCUCCUGUCUUGCAGCGCAUCCGCUACCGUGCGCUUGCUCCGUAGUCGGCUUGGGACAGCCGCCAAGACUGCCGGUGCUAGCGACCGAAUGGAAGCGCCAUUCAGCCAGCAAUCUUCCUAGAACAACACCGAGUGUCCGUCUCCCACCGAGCACACCAAAGAGAUUGAGACAAGGUUGCGUUCCUUUUGCGAGAUUGGGAUAUUAAGUCCCUGCCAGGGCUUUCCCGGAGAAGUUAGCUGCUGCCAGAGCCAACGCGACCGCAGUGCCAACCCCAUCCUCUCGAGGUCGGAGAAGCCCAACCCACCAUAUUCCUUCGGAGAGCAUACCCAGGCCCAAGCAACCCGGCAGGCACUGCCGCUUACUGAGGCCUUGCCCGCCCAUAGGAAGCCACGGCGGAUCUUAUCGAUUCCUUUUAUUACCCACUUCGGUGCAUUGAUCGCCAUUAUCAAAUACAAUAAGAAAACCUAUCCUUAUCAAAUACAAAAUCUUGACAUGUUCCGAAAUUGAAGGAACACAUGCUUAACAUCAAAUCUAUAUAUUCUCUAAGAAGUACUCUGUUUCAUUAAAAUCAUAUACUACAUGCAGUACUCUGUUUUUCACCUUCAGUUACAUGAUUUUCAGUAGUAAACAAUACUCUGUUUUCCCUCCAGAACUAAUGCUGUGUCCUUCAGGAUUAUUCCCCAUCGAUAAGAGAAACCUAUUCUCAUCGAACACAACAUCCCAACAUAUUAAUGAAACUGAAUGAACACAUGGUCAAGAUCAAAUCUAUAUAUUCUUGAUGAGAUACUCUGUUAAAAAUUUAAACCAAAUGUACUCUGCUUUUCCCCUUCAGUCUGAUUGUCUUCUGAAGUAAACAUGACAUAGGUAAAAAUCCUUCAGAAGUUCAUGAAUUGGCACCUCGAGGCUCCACAUAGCAUUUUCCAAUUCUGAAUUUUGGGUCCUGACAAGGGUAUAAUAUCAGAAGGCUACCGACAAUGUUGAGAACAUAAAAGAAAAACUAUUUUUAUCGUAUGUCGACACAUAUUCUUGAAACUAUAUAUUACCCUUCAAUUUCAUUAUCUUCAGAGGUAAGCAAUAAUCUGUUUUCGUCCCAUUCAGUUACCUCAGUCUACCUAAGUUUACUCACCGUGGAUAAAAUCCUUCAGAACUUUAGGAUAGCACUUCAGAAGUUCCUUAUCCUUUUGGCCGUCAGAUGUCCUUGCAGUGAAAUAGCUGAACCGGCAAAUUGCCUGCAUAUGCUUCCCUCUAUAUUUCAAAAAAGUUUCUGAACUGCUCUGAAUACUGAUGACCCUGAAUGAUUUCCAUCUGUGAAAUUAGGGUCCGGACAAGGGUAAAACACCGGAAGGCUGCUCACAAUGCUGAGAGCAAGAAACUUAUUCUCAUCAUACACAACAUCUCAACAUAUUUUUGAACUAAAUGAAGUGCCUCUCAUCAUCAAAUCUAUAUGUUCUUCAGACAUACCCUGUAAACGGAAAAAACCAUCAACUAUACUAUCUGCUUUUCCCCCUUCAGUUUGAAUGCCGUCAGAAAUCAGAAGCAAACAGAAUAUGGGUAAAAAUCCUUCCGAAGUUCAUGAAUUGGCACCUCGAGGCUGCACAUUUCAUUUUCAAAAUCACCACGACUCCACGAGCAACAAGAAUACAUAGCAUCAGUUAUAGUUCAAAUUUCUGGUCGAAUUUGGAAACUAAUCCAAUCAAGUUCCAAAAUCUAAGUCCCAUUUCGUUAAACCCUCAACCGUUGCUCCGAAGCUCGCGCGGGGCACGCGUGCAGACAACGCUGUGUCGCGCUGACGUCAUCGCCUCUAUAAAUUCAAAUCCCGCAUUGCUGAGACGAUCCACACGCACACUUCCCUCGUCUCCUCUCAGCCUCUCACCCACGCGCCCUCGCUUCCUUUCCUCCUAAACCCUAGAAAUCCUCAGGCGAUCGGAUGGCGAUGGCGGCGGCUGCGGCUGGCGCGGAUGGGCUCCUCCCGGGUCCCAAGCUUGAUCCUAGCGACGACGAGCUCGUCGGCGGCUACCUGCUCCGGCGCCUCCAGGGCCAGCCCCUCCCGCUCGAGGCGGAUCCCCUGAGCGCGCGGCCGCGGAAUCUUGCCGCGGAUCACGGCCGCGGCGACGAGGCCUUCUUCUUGGCGGAGGCGCAGGCCAAGAACGCGAAGGGAAAGCGGCAGAGGAGCACCGUCGAGGGGCAGAGCAUGUGCGUGGACGGCGGGAGGCUCCGCGUCCCUGAUGACGGUCGCGGCGGCGGCGGAUUGGCUUUCUCGCACUUCUUGCCGCUGUCGCCGUCGAUCGUUCCCUCGCCAGCACCGUCUCCCCGCUGCUCCACCUCCACGCCGCUGUCCCCGCCGAAGCUUCUCGCGGAUCACGGCCGGGGCGACGAGGCCGCCUUCUUCGCGGACGCGUGGGCCAAGAACGGCAAGCGGCAGAAGCAGAGGAGCACCGUCGAGGGCGGAGGGCUCUGGCAGGGGCAGGGGAUGCUCGUGGACGGCGAGAGGCUCCGCGUCGCUGAUGACGGCGGCGGCGGUUCGGCUUUCUUGCCGCCGUCGAUCCUUCCGUCGCUGCUGCCGGCUCCCCGCUGCUCCACGCCGCUCUCCCCGUCCUCGCCGCCGUUCCGGCCGUCCAGGGUGAUCGUUCGGUGGGCGCGGCCGCCGCCUGGGUGGUGCAAACUGAACUUUGACGGCUCGGUGUUCAACGACGGCUCCCCGCGAGCGAGCAUCGGCGGCGUCAUCCGCGACAGCGACGCCGGCGUGGUGCUCGCCUUCGCGGAGACAACGGAGCACUGGACCGUCGGCGUGGUGGAGGCCCGUGCUAUGAUCAGAGGCCUGAGGUUCGCGCUGGCGUGCUUCAUCGAGCGGCUCGUGGUGGAGGGCGACGACCUGGUGCUGGUCCAGCUCAUCCGCGGCGAGGAGACGCAGACGAGGAUCCCGGCGGCGAUGCAGGAGGAGAUCCUCAACCUUCUGCGAUGCUUCGCCGAGGUGGAUGUGCGGCACAUCUACCGGGAGGGAAACUCGGUGGCCCACACACUGUGCCGGCAGGCGUACGUGUGUCCGGGCAUAUGGUCGCAGAGGGGAGGAGGGAUGCCGGCGGCCGUCUGGGACAAGGUGGAUGAUGAUAGGCGAGGGGUGGUGCACGAGCGCAUCCGCAAGAACAAGUAGAAGUGAAGAGCAAGAAGGGCGCCAAUUCGAGUCAGAGAUGCUGAUCAAGUCGAAGACUUGUCCUCUCCUCUGUGUUUAUUGUAUAGAUUUGUAGUCGUACGAUUAUUAGUGUAAUUAUUAUAGAUGUAAAGCUAAUUAUUCAUUGUAGGAAUAGAUAAUUGUUAAUUUAUAACACUGAUGUAUUUAAUCAUUUAUUUUACAAUAAAUAAAAGAAUCAAGUUUUUUUUUUUAAUGUGUGGUCUUUUCCUUGCUGUGACUUGUGCGUGUGAGCUGCGACUGCGAGCUUGUGGUCGUCGACGUUGUCAAUGCAGUGGUGUGCUCUCUCGGAUCUUGCUGCCAUGGAAGUUGGGCCUGUAUGCGGAUUACUGGGCUGGCCCUAGGCCCACUCGGCUCGGCUGCAGCGCAUACACCAAGGGGGGGAUCGAUCAAGAACAGAACACUCGUCUCCCUCCUCCUUCAUCCUUGGGGUGUGCUGUGUUGUGAGCUGUGCGUGUGAGUUGCGGUUGUCGUGGAUGCGGUCGUGUUUGGUGUUGUCAGGUGAGAGCAGUUGGGGAUUGGAUUUUGUGGCGACCGCGCGUUGGCUCUGCGGCGUGCAAAGAUGCCACCACGGCGGUUUUCCUCUCUUCUGUUUCUUGGUUUAUUGCGUCGAUCUCUUCCUUGAUCGUGCUCCUGCUCUUGCCGCCGGCCAAUUAUCUGUCGCCGCAUUCUGCUCCUCUCUGCCCAUGCACCAUCUUGCCAUCUAGGGAUGCGUCCUCAUCUCCAUUGAGUUUGGGUGCACGGGAGGUGUUUGCUGUAUUGCCUAAGCGAGUAUACUGUGCUUAUUCAUUCAUUUGACACUGUUUUGGGACCUAUGAAUGAACGGCCUUCCAGUGUCGUAGUGGGGCUCGACUCAGUGUGCGGCGAUUACGGUGAAGUCAGGCCGCAGCGCUAGGUUUGUCUGCCCUUGGCAGUCGUUCACACAAAGCGAGGGGCGCCAAUUACGGUGGUGCUGGCUUUGCAAUAGCGCUACUAAGGCGAAAAGCUAAAGGGAGCGCAGAGGGAUCAGCUGUCGAAGCAUCUCAGAGGGAUCUCUGGUUGCAGCGGUAGCGUGCUCGGUGCCGUCCAGACUCAACGUGGUGUGGCAAAGAGGUUUGCUCAAACUGACACUGUGGCGCACAGCAAGACGGGCACUGGAUCAGCACUAGAGCAGAUACUUGUAGUUUCAUGCUGGUUUUACCAUCAAUGGUGCCACUAUUCCUCCAUCGAAAUGAAGGUAAGCAUGGGUUGCAUAGAUUAUGCAGUGAAUUUGAAUCCACCUUGCUUUUCUAGUUUUCUUUUUUGCUGUCAUAGCUGGAGAUGAACAAGGUGAUGCGCCAGUGGAAGUAACCCAUGGAGAUGAACAAGGAGAGGGAGGAAUUGCUAAUUCUUCUGGUUCCAUUGUUCUUGAACACGGUAUAUCUUAGAUCCUUGUUUUGAAAUAUGAAAUUGUAUUAGCACUUGUUCUGAAAUCUGAAUCUUUUAUUCUUAAAUCUGAAAUCUGAGACUGUACAAGUGCUUGUUCUAAAAUAUGAAAUUUUACUAGCACUUGUUCUGAAAUUGAUGGUUAGCCAUUUUGUUUUCUAGAAGGUGCAACUGAUCAAGAUGAGGCUAGAGGUAUUGUCUGAUUGCUACAGUGGUUACAGAUUUUGUGCAGAAGUUAAGCUGAAACUCUAGUUCAAAAUGAGUACUGCAGUAUUGUUAGUUCAAGUUCUCAACUUUUGGAGUUAUGGAUAUAUUAGUAUAAUUUGGUUUUUCUCUAUUUGAUUUUACUGUUCUAGGAAGUUGUCACCGUUUGUUUCCAAUAAACUGUCCCUACUUCAGAGUAGCAGUCAUGCUACCUAUCUUGUUUAUCUUGGUUUACAGAGGCAGGCAAGCUGGCAAUUUAUAGUACCAGUCCAUGAAUGGUCAGAUAUUUUUCUCCAAAACAAAGUUAUACAAGGAGUACAUGAAUGAAUAUUCAGACAGAUACUUUUCCCUAAAAGAUAGAUAGUUUUACAAGUACAUGAAUUAACCAAAUUUUGUCUAAUUGCUACAGUACUUAAGAAUUUGUAUAAUUCAGUUUGAGCACUUUAGUUUCAGAUGGAGUAAUGUAGUUCCAGUUCUUAACUUUCAAGUUAUGAAUGUAAUCUGAAUAUAAUUGGUUUUCACUAGUUGAUUUUAUUGAAUUGAAAUUGGCAAGUAACUGAAGUUAAGUUGUCCAGUUCUGAAUUGUUCAUGUGAGAAUCUGCCCCAUCAGGAAGAGUAAAAAGUGAUCUCUUCUAGUGUUUGACUGAUGAAUAAAUUUGGCAGAAGUGGUAGAAUCCAAAAUUUGGUAUGUACAGUAGUAUCAAGAGACCACAACUUCGAUCAAUUUUUAAGGGACAAGGCGAUAGAGAUUCACCUCUUGAUCUCUUAAUUUUUUGAUUUUUUUUAUAAUUUAUCUAUGAUGCUAAUGCAAAAAGAUUUGUGUAAGCUUAUUGAUUUAUUCAGAGGAACAACAAUUCGUCCUCCAGGAAAUUGAAGUUCAAUUUUUUUUCUAAAUAGAAAGCACAGUGUUUGGCAUCGUGUGCAGAUGGUUCCCUCAGCUGUUCUUUUCAAAAGCAAAGAUGCAUCAGUGUAAUAUUGCAUGGAUGGAGAUGCCCUACAAAUCAAGUUUCAUUUGCCCGUCACCUUAUAAGCCUCUAAUUUUAUAUUAUCUUGCUGUUGUUUAUCCUCAUCGUACACUAGCCCUUUCAGCGAUGACAAGGUGUGUUGAAAGUCAAAGUCAUAGAUUCCAUGGUUCUAGAGAUAAUUAUCAUAAUUUUGGUCAUUUGAUCAUGGCAACUCUAUUCUUAAAUCUGAAAUCUGAGACUGCACCAGUGCUUGUUCUGAAAUUUGAAAGUUUGUUCUAAAUUCUGAAAUUGUACUAGCACUUGUUCUGAAAUUGAUUAUUAACCAUUUUGUUUUCUAGAAGGUGCAACUGAUCGGGAUGAGGCUAGAGUUAUUGUCUGGUUGCUACAGUGGUUACAGAUUUUGUGCAUAAGUUAAGCUGAAACUCUAGUUAGAAUGAGUACUUAACUUUUAGGAGUAAUGUUGUUCAAGUUCUGAGCGAUUGAAGUUAUGAAUAUAAUCUGAGUAUAAUUUGUUGCUCUAGUUGAUAUUACUGUUGUUAAGUUGUCAUCGUUAGUUGCCAAUGUUCCUGAUGCUAGCUGACUCAACAAAGUUCAGAGUAGCAGGCAUGCUACCUUGUUUAUCUUGGAUUACAGAGACAGGCAAGCAGGUUCAGAGUAACAGUCCAUGAAUCAUUACAUUUUUUUUUCAGAUGGAGUACUAUAGUUCAAUUUCUCAACUUUUUCGAGUUAUAAGUAUAACCUGAAUACAAUUGAUUUGUCCCUAGUUAAUUUUACUGAAUUUAAAUUGGCAAGUGACUGAAGUUAAGUUGUCUAUUCUGAACUUGCUCUAGUUCUGAUUUUGGUCUAGCACUGUAUUUCAAUUGAUGGUUUAUUUUUUUAUGUUCUUUACCAUGUCUUGUCUAUUAAAGACCAUGUUUAGUUCCACAGCUAAUUUUUUUUUUGAAAUAUACGGACACACAUUUAAAGUAUUAAACGUAGACUAAUAACAAAACAAAUUACAUAUUCUGCCUGUAAACUGCGAGACGAAUUUAUUAAGCCUAAUUAAUCCGUCAUUAGCAAAUGUUUACCGUAGCACCACAUUGUCAAAUCAUGGCGUAAUUAGGCUCAAAAGAUUCAUCUCGUAAUUUAUAUGCAAAUUGUGCAAUUGAUUUUUUCUUUUUGUCCACAUUUAAUGCUACAUGCAUGUGUCCAAACAUUUGAUGUGACGGAAUUUUUGGAAGUUUGAAGGAAACUAAAUACAGCCAAAGAUGCUCAUGUGAGAAAGAGUAGUAGAGUGUGUUUAGUUCACGUCAAAAUUAGAAGUUUGGUUGAAAUUGGAAGGAUGUGACGGAAAAGUUGGAAGUUUGUGUGUGUAGGAAAGUUUUGAUGUGAUAGAAAAGUUGGAAGUUUGAAGAAAAAGUUUGGAACUAAACUCGACCGUAAUUUUUGGAUUUUUGAAUGUGUCAGCAUGUCAGAAGUAAUUUUAUUUUUUGAAUGCUCCGCCGGUCGCCUCCCCACAUUUUUAUUUUAUUUUAUUUGUGCUGACUAGGAUACGACGUUAGCGAAACCAGACAUCUAUACUGCCAUGGGACCUAAAUUAGACGGUGCUGUAUACUUUAUAGGUGAAGAUUUCUAGUAGUGAGGAUAAGAGAUGUAAAAAAAAAACUCAGUGUAAAGUUGAGGGAUAGCAGGUGAACUUAUUCCUACUAACAACGUUCGCUCCCGGGCUCCAGGCCGCUUCGUACCUUGGGCCAGAUGCCCAGAAAGGUGUUAGGCCGGCCUGUUUCUGAUACGAGCGGGCUCCAUUGUUUUUGGGCCAGACUUGCCUAUUUUACAUGGGCCGAUCUGUAUUUUGUCCAACUUGCGGGUCUAUUUUAUCUGGGCCGGAUCGUGACUGUGACUUGGCCCAUACGACGAUUCGACAAAGCGCGCGCCCUGUCGCGUCGUCUCCGAAUUCGAUUCGAAGUCGCACUGCGGUAUCGUCGACUCCAACUCGGACUCGGACUCCGCUUCGAACCCGACCCACCGGCCGACGAUAACUAGCGUCUCGCUCGGCUCGUCGGCGGCAAAUCAUUCUCUCUGUUCGCUCGCUGCAUUCUGUGCCAUGGCUUUCCUCCACUGCACGCCUCCAUCCCUCCUGCUCCCGUCGCCUCCGUUCUUUCUCCCGCCGCCGCCGGCUGCUCCCCGCUGCUCCACGGCGCUGUCCCCGUCCUCGCCGCUGUUCCAUCCGACCCGGCUGCGCAUCAGGUGGGCGCCGCCGCCGGUUGGGUGGUGCAAACUCAACUUCGACGGCAGCGUGUUUAACGAUGGCUCCCGGCGAGCGAGCAUCGGCGGCGUCAUCCGCGGCUGCGACGGCGGCGUCGUGCUGGCCUUCGCCGAGACCACGGAGCACUGGACCGUCGGGGUGGUGGAGGCCCGCGCGCUGAUCAAGGGACUGAAGCUUGCGUUGAAGUGCUUCGUGGAGCGGAUCGUCGUGGAGGGCGACGACCUGGUGCUGGUCCAGCUGCUGCGCGGCGAGGAGACGCAGACGAGGAUCCCGGCGGCCAUGCACGACGAGAUCCUCUCCCUGCUCCGCCGCUUCACCGAGUUCGAGGUGCGGCACAUAUAUCGAGAGGGGAACUCGGUGGCCCACACGCUGUGCCGGCAGGCGUACCAGGGCCCUGGAUUGUGGACGGAGAGAGUGCCGAUGCCAGGCGCCGUCCGGGAGAAGAUCGACGAGGAUUGUCGCGGGGUGCUGCACGAGCGCCUGUGCAAGAAGAACAAGUGACGCCAUCGGCAUGAAGAAGGGUGGACGCGAUCGAUGCGGGCGCCAAAGCGAUUAAGCGAGUCGAAUAUUUUUGUUCAAAUCGAUCGGCUUGGCUUUGUGAUUGUUGUAGUUGAACAUGUAACUGAAGCUAAUUAGUUGGUCCUGUUAGUUGUAGACGUAGAUGUUAUUUAUCAUUGGCAUUGAUGUAUUCAUUCAAUCAUUAUUAUCUAAUGAUAAAAAGAUUAGCAUUGCUUUGUUCUUGAACUUGCAAUACUUGAUUCCGAUAAAGAAACCGUUUGUCUUGUGUGUUGUGUUCUGUUGUGAUUUCUGCGUCGGGACGGAGCGUGUGGUUGCGCCGUUGCGGUCGUCGGGUCGUGGCUGUUGUCGGGUCAAAGCAAGCGAGAACUCGCCAGCAAUAGCGUGUUGCCUGGCUGCGGCGGCCAGAGAUGCCGGGGUGGUCUGCCUGCCCUUGGCACUUGCAAUCGUGCACAUACACAGCGCGCGCGGCGCACUGAUUAGGGCGGCGCUGGCGUUGCAAUCGGGCUCUCUUUGGGGCUUUGGGCCAAAGCGAAAGGGAGUAGCUGGCGAAGCAGCUCACCUUACUGUGGUCGACGGUGAGACGGCCGGGUGGCGCCCGGGGUCAUUCGCGGCUGCAUCGUUCACGCGAGUCACUGCGUUGCUUGGUAGGUCUGGCUGACGUACUGGGCUAGGCUGGAUAAUGCCGAGCAGUCCAACAUGAAUACAAAAAACACAUAUAGCAUGAAAAAGAGACAAAAAUGAAUAUAUUGUGCCAAAUUCAUAGUAUUAACUUUGGUAUCAAACCCCAGAAACAGAAAGAACAGAGUUCAGAUAAAUAUGCACAGAGAGCUGGAUCUCUGAAUGUUCAGACUUGGUUUUACCUCCUGUUGCAGCACUGAAUAUCUUAAAAUUGUUAACUCACUAGUUCAGCUGGCUUCCAAUUAUCUAAGAUUAUUCAAGCAUUGUCCUAUGCAUCUCUCUAUCUGGUUCCCAUUCUUUGCUUUAGCUCCCUCACUGUGGAAAAGAGCAGACAAAAUACCCAAAAGUGCCAUGCUUUGAAGUUUGAACAUGUGGGGAUUCAAUGUCUCAAAAAUUCAGAAUUGAUGUUUACCUCCCUAAUGCAAUACUGAAAACUAUGAUUUGUUGACUCAGUAGUUUUGCUUUCCUAGUAGAGACGAUUUAUCUAGAGUACAUUUGUCCUCCAACAUUGAUUUCCUCCCUGCCCUUGUUCUGAAAGCUGAGACUGUACUAGUGCUUGUUCUAAAUUCUAAAAUCAUACUAGCAUUUGUUCUCAAAUUUGAAACUUUAGUACUUGUUCUAAAUUCUGAAAUUUAUGGUUAGAAAUUCUUUUUUCGAAGGUGCAACUGUUUUUUGAGAUUUGAAGGGAGAUAAGUCUCUCCAAAUAUUUUUUAAGAAGAAAUGGUGAGCGUGCUGGAGAUUGAGCACUACACUAUUAAGCGCAUCUCAUUCAAAGAUGCAACUGAUCAAGAUGGAAGUGGAGUUGAAACAUGGAGGUGGAAUUGAUCAUGAUGCCAAGCCCCCUAUUCUUAUUGCUACAGUGAUCAGUGCUUACAUUUCAGCUGCCUUAAAGACCCGAAGCAAUUUCUAAAUCGGAGUCCGACAACACAGUGAGAUACGACGGCUAGAGUUGCGCGUAGUGGCGUAGGGAUGAAAAUGGAGCAGAUACGGACGGAUAAUGCUCACUACCAUAUUCAUUUUCAUAUCUUUCGUCGGAUGCGAAAAUGAAUACAAAUAGCUUGGAUACGAAAACAAAUACGAAUAAGCAUCGAAUAUGAUCAGACACAAAUAUGAAAACAAUUUUUUUUCUUAAAACACAAAAACCACAAACAAAUAUCAUCAUAUAUAAUUAGCUCAUUUUAUAUAAAAUAUGAUAUGAUUUAUAAAAUAUUUUAAAAUUUUAAAUAAUAUUAACAGUAUAGACUAGUGUUAAAAAAUAUACUACUAUUUAAAUCUAAUCGAUAUAAAAGAUCGCGAAGUUGAAAAGAAAUGGGGUAUGACUUAUAGAUUCAGUAAAUAUCCGAAUAGCGUAUCAAUCAGAUUGCAUCCCUGAGUUGCGGGAUCAACCCCUGGCACAUUUAGGUUUUGAUCUCAGGCUAUCCUGGGAGUCCCUAUCUACUUUCGAUUCCCUUCUUAUUGGCUAUGGAAGUACAGAUAUAAUAUUCUUACCAAGAUAACUGGAAGCGUUUAAGCGUUUAAGUAGACGGGUUUCCUGAAAUCCAAGGAGCAGAUUCACCAGAUAUUCGUAUCCGUCGUUACUCCCAAUAUUAUAUUCGUAUUUGUAUCCAGAAAAAAAUAUAUGUAUCCAAAAUAUCCGCUUCGAAGCUAUCCGUAUUUAUUUUUCUCGUAUCUAAAAUAUUCGCUUCGAAAGUUAUCCGUAUUUGAUUUUCUCCGGAGCGGACGGAAACCGCUCCGUUUUCAUCCCGGCGGGGCAUUAAGGCGCCUCGCCAUGGACAGCGUGCAUACGCGCCAACUAGCGAUCCGAUCGGCUGUGUUCUUCAGCUUGCUAAGGGAAGAACACGGCUUAAUUAAAAUGAUCGAGGCUUAACAAAUAAAUGGGCUCCAUCCUGCAGCCGACCCAACAUGAAUCAACAAAGGGCUCUGUCAGUUGGGCAGUGCCAGGUUGGGCCACAACUACCGAGCAUAUCAGCAAUGAUGGCCUAUGUUGGGCUUCCACCCUUUUACAGGAAGGAAAAAGUAUACUUUCUCCCUCAACUAUGACCCGAGUAUGAUUCAUGAUCUCCAACCACAAAACCGGGUAUAUCUCUCCUCCAACUAUCAAAACCAUGCAAACUAUAUCCCUGGGUGGUUUUGGAAGCGGUUUUGACUGACAUGGUGUCCACGUGACGGUGUCGACCCGAUCUUUGUCCCGCGUGUCGUCGACGUGUCGCUUACGUGGCAUUAGCGUAAAAAAAAAUUGUUGGACCACAUGUGGGCCCCACAUUUCAUCAUCAUCUCCCCCCUCCCUCCCUCCCUCUCUCACAUUUUUUCCUCUCUCACCUUCCAUCAGCCGGCGGAAGCACGAAGCACGAGCUCCUCCCCGAAGCCACAGGCAGGGGAGGGAGGAGGACUUAUCUUAUCUGAAAGACUGAAACCAUAUCCAGAACAGUGAAAGCAUAUGCAAGCAUGCAUAUGCAUCGAUCGAUUGAAAUAUACGUAUGCCCAAAUUAAAGCACGGCUAGCUCCUGCCCCGGUAGGCGAACGGCCGGCGAGCUCCACCCCCGCGAGCAGACGCCGACGAGCUCCACCCCCGCGCGCGGAACGGUCGGCGAGCUCCUCCCCAGGCGUGUGGACGGCCGGCGAGCUCCUCCCUCGGCGUGCGGACGGCAGGCGAGACCCGCGCACCGACGCUGGCGAGCUCCUCCCCGGCGCGCGGACAGCAGGCGAGCUCCUCCCCCGCGCGCGGACGCCGGCGAGCUCGCGGGACGGCCACCGGGCUCCUCUGUUAGAAUAAUUGGGCUAGGCCCAAUUUAUAAUAUUAAAUCUCAAAGGCCCAUAAUAAAUGUUGAGGAUAAUAAUACCACCUCAGGAUUUAAGCGAGAAAUAUCUCAACCUAAAUAGGGAGUUAUUAGAGGCUCCCUGUUGACCAGUUGAGGUGGGGGUCGGAAUGCCACACGCGCGCGCGCGCGCCGGGCCGGGCCGUGGCCGUGAGCGAGGGCGGCGUGCGUUCGUCACGUCGCUAUCCUUUUGCAGCCACUAACCCACGUUCCCACGAUUCCCUCCGCAACAGCGCGUCCACGUUCUUUCUCCUGAUAGAUAAGGAGGCCGUGAGUCCGAUCCGACUUCUUCGCUUCUUUCCCGGUGUUAGUUUCUCCUUCUCCGCGCCUGAGUUGCUCUCGCUUCCCCGCUUCUGAUCUCUUGCGCGCACGAGAGAUUGGAAGGAGUAGUGCCUCCGAAACCACACCUUCGCCUGAGAUCUGCACCGGGUAGGCGGGUGAUCAGGUUUUUGGGGAGUGCCUCCCGCACGACUGCUCAUCGCCAUGUCUGGAGUUGCUGCCGCCACUGCUGGCGGAGGUGGUACGCCGUCGCCGACAGGAGCUGGAUCUGGAUCCAGAGCUGGUGCGCCAGGAGGAGGUGCCGUGAACGACUACAACAACGGAGGCAAUUCUGCCUCACCAUCCAGCGGAGGGCCAUUCUCGGGGUAUAAUCUUCUCCUCCUGCUACUGCUGUUAGCGCUAUUCCUGUUCCCAUUGUUAGCGCUAUACUAUGUGCGCUAUGUUCUUGUUCCUGUUCUACAUGAUGCCUCUAGCAUGUUAUCGCGUUACUGGUAUGUUCCUGUUUCUGACAUUCAUGAUGCGCAUAGUAUGCUACUGGUUAUGUUAAGAUCGCCCUACACUGCUUAUGCCAUGAUCAUUGUUUCAUUUUCUUGGAUUAAAAUAUGCCGAUUAAUGACUAUAUUUCCAACAAUCCAAAAACCUGAUAGGUCAUUUUCGGUAGUUGGCUUUGCUGCUGCACUGAAACCACAUGCUUUUGAUGGUUCAAACUAUAAGAGAUGGAAAGCACGUGCACUAUUGUGGUUGACAGCGAUGCAGUGCUUCUAUGUUUCACGGGGCAAACGAAGUGAACCACCUCUUUCUCCUGAGGAAGAGGCUAAGUUCGAGGCUUCGGAUUGCCUGUUCCGUGGAGCAUUGAUCAGUGUACUCGCUGACAACAUAGUGGACGUGUACAUGCACAUGCCUUCUGGGAAGGAUAUGUGGGAUGCACUUGAGGCCAAGUUCGGAGUUUCUGACGCCGGCAGUGAGCUGUAUGUCAUGAAGCAGUUCUAUGACUACAAGAUGGUCGAUGACCGUUCUGUAGUAGAACAAGCUCAUGAGAUUCAGAUGCUGGCUAAGGAACUUGAGAACAACAACUGUGAGUUGCCGGACAAGUUUGUGGCGGGUGGUAUUAUUGCCAAACUACCACCUUCUUAGUCGGACUUUGCCACUUCUCUAAAGCACAAGAGACAAGAGUUCAGUGUUCCUGAUCUCAUUGGCUCUUUGGGUGUUGAGGAGAAGGCGAGGGCAAAGGAUGUCCGGGGCAAAAAGGUUGAGGGAGGUUCUAGUGCCAAUAUGGUACAGAAGAACCCUCAUGCAUCCCACAACAACAAGAAAGUCAAGCCUGAUGUCAAACCCAAGGCUGCAACCAAUUUUAAGAAGAAAGGCAAGGGAAAGGCAAAGGGAGACUGCUUUGUGUGUGGCAAGUCUGGGCAUUGGGCCAAGGACUGUCCUGAGCGCAAAGACAGGAAGUCUGCCAACAUGAUCAUUAGCGAGGGCGGAGGAACAUCGGGGUAUGGUAAAAUAUUACCUACAGUUCUCUCUGUUUUUCAUUCACCUGAUUGGUGGGUGGAUACUGGUGCUAAUAUUCAUGUAUGUGCUGACAUUUCUCUGUUUUCUUCUUAUCAGGUCGGGAGAGGUUCCUCCUUGUUGAUGGGAAACGGGUCGCUUGCGGCUGUUCAUGGUGUUGGUACGGUCGAUCUGAAGUUUACUUCGGGAAAGACCGUGCAGCUGAAGAACGUGCAGCAUGUCCCUUCAAUAAAGAAGAAUCUAGUUAGCGGCUCUCUAUUGUGUAGAGAAGGUUUUAGACUUGUGUUUGAGUCCAAUAAAUCUGUCGUAUCUAAAUAUGGGACUUUUGUUGGAAAAGGUUAUGACAGCGGAGGCUUGUUCCGCUUUUCUUUGAAUGACAUGUGUAAUAAUCAUAAUGCUGUGAACCAUAUUAGCGAGAAUGAUGAGUCUAAUAUGUGGCAUUCGCGACUCUGUCAUGUGAAUUUCGGUUGUAUGACGCGCUUAGCUAACAUGAGUUUAAUUCCAAAAUUCACUUUGGUCAAAGGUUCCAAGUGCCAUACUUGUGUUCAAUCGAAACAACCUCGCAAGCCUCACAAGGCAUCUGAGGCGAGGAAUUUGGCACCUCUAGAACUUGUUUAUUCCGAUUUGUGCGAAAUGAACGGCGUGUUGACUAAAGGGGGAAAGAAAUAUUUCAUGACACUGAUAGAUGAUUGCACUAGAUUUUGCUAUGUGUAUCUAUUGAAAACAAAGGAUGAGGCAUUGCAUUACUUUAAAAUCUAUAAAGCUGAGGUAGAAAACCAACUUGAAAGGAAAAUCAAACGGUUGAGGUCUGAUAGAGGUGGGGAGUAUUUUUCCAAUGAGUUUGCAUCCUUUUGCGAAGAGUUUGGAAUUAUUCAUGAGAUGACGCCUCCCUAUUCACCCCAAUCAAAUGGGGUGGCCGAAAGAAAGAACCGUACUCUAACUGAGAUGGUGAAUGCCAUGUUAGAUACUGCGGGGCUUUCCAAGGAAUGGUGGGGUGAGGCAGUUUUGACUGCGUGUCAUGUCCUGAAUAAAAUUCCAAUGAAGCAUAAGGAAGUAACACCAUUCGAGGAAUGGGAAAGGAAGAAAUUAAAUCUCUCAUACCUACGAACAUGGGGCUGUUUGGCCAAGGUAAAUGUACCUAUAGCCAAAAAGCGGAAACUUGGACCAAAAACUGUUGAUUGUGUGUUUCUUGGUUAUGCUAUCCACAGUGUGGGUUAUAGAUUCUUAAUAGUAAACUCUGGAGUACCCGACAUGCAUGCUGGUACAAUUCUUGAGUCCAGAGAUGCUACAUUCUUUGAGAAUGAAUUUCCUAUGAAAUAUACACCUAGCACUUCUAGUAAAGAAACUGUCAUGCCCCAUGAGCACUUUGCACCGAUAGAACACGAUGAUCAAACGCCUGAGGAAAAUCCUGAGGAGGACAACAUUGUAGAUACUCGCAAGAGUAAGAGACAAAGGGUUGCAAAAUCCUUUGGAGAUGACUACAUUGUAUACCUCGUGGAUGACACCCCAAGAACCAUAGAAGAGGCAUAUUCAUCUCCUGACGCUGACUACUGGAAGGAAGCAGUACGCAGUGAAAUGGACUCGAUUAUGUCUAAUGGUACUUGGGAAGUCGUUGAGUGUCCAUAUGGGUGCAAGCCCGUAGGAUGCAAAUGGGUUUUCAAGAAAAAGCUUAGGCCUGAUGGUACAAUCGAAAAGUACAAGGUAAGGCUUGUAGCCAAGGGUUAUACCCAAAAGGAAGGCGAGGACUUCUUCGACACAUACUCACCAGUUGCUCGCUUGACCACGAUUCGAGUACUACUUGCUCUGGCAGCCUCUCAUGGUCUUCUCGUCCAUCAGAUGGACGUUAAGACAGCUUUCCUAAACGGAGAGCUGGAGGAGGAGAUCUAUAUGGAUCAACCAGACGGGUAUGUACUAGAAGGUCAGGAGGGAAUGAUGUGUAAACUAUUGAAAUCCUUGUAUGGCCUCAAGCAAGCACCUAAGCAAUGGCAUGAGAAGUUUGACACCACGCUUACAUCUGCAGGCUUUGUUGUGAACGAAGCUGACAAAUGUGUAUACUAUCGCUAUGGUGGGGGAGAAGGGGUGAUCUUGUGCUUAUAUGUCGAUGACAUACUGAUCUUUGGGACCAGCCUUAAUGUGAUUGAGGAGGUCAAAGACUAUCUGUCCAAGAGUUUUGAAAUGAAGGAUUUGGGAGAGGCUGAUGUUAUUCUUAACAUCAAACUACAAAGAGGAGAUGAGGGUGGGAUUACACUUGUGUAAUCCCACUAUGUGGACAAGGUUUUGAGUCGCUUUGGAUAUAGUGACUGCAAGCCAGUUCCUACUCCUUAUGAUCCCAGCGUGCUAUUAAGGAAAAACCAAAGAAUAGCAAGGGAUCAACUGAGAUACUCUCAAAUCAUUGGUUCAUUGAUGUACUUGGCUAGCGCAACGAGGCCUGACAUCUCAUUUGCUGUAAGCAAGCUGAGCCGGUUUGUCUCAAAUCCGGAAGAUGAUCAUUGGCAGGCUCUGAAAAGAGUAAUGCGCUAUCUAAAGGGCACUAUGAGCUAUGGAAUUCACUAUACCGGGUAUCCAAAAGUAUUAGAAGGGUAUAGUGACUCAAACUGGAUAUCUGAUGCUGAUGAGAUAAAAGCCACAAGUGAAUAUGCAUUCACACUUGGAGGUGGCGCUGUUUCCUGGAAGUCUUGCAAGCAGACCAUCUUAACGAGGUCAACAAUGGAAGCAGAACUUACAGCACUAGAUACUGCGACAGUUGAGGCCGAGUGGCUUCGUGAACUCCUGAUGGAUUUGCCGGUGGUUGAAAAAGUAGUGCCAGCUAUCCUAAUGAACUGCGAUAAUCAAACAGUGAUUAUUAAAGUGAACAGUUCAAAGGACAACAUGAAGUCAUCUAGACACAUCAAGAGAAGACUGAAAUCUGUCAGAAAGCAGAAAAACUCCGGAGUGAUAGCAUUGGACUAUGUCCAAACGGCUAGAAAUCUGGCAGAUCAGUUUACCAAGGGGCUACCACGUAAUGUGAUAGACAGUGCAUCGAGGGAAAUGGGCUUGAUACCCACCUAAGGUUGCAUAAUAGUGGAAACCUGUCCAUUGUGAUCGGAGAUCCCGUGAAUUUGGAUGGUGAAACAAACUAUUGUGUGACUGAGAGAAGAGACCCUUGAAAAGGGCUCAUUUUCAUGAUGUGCUUCUCUUCUUUCCUGCAUGGUAGGAUGGCUUAUGUCUUAAUGUGAUUCGAGUGGCUUUUCCAAGCAGAGAUGUUGACCUGCAGAACAUCUCAGAAGGAACACACCUAUAUGAGUUCGACUGCUAGUCACAGUCUAUGAGGUUUGGGCAAUCUCUAGAUACUCAUGAAAGGCCUGGAGUUUGACUUACAUGCUCCAAACAGAGGGGAUGCGAACGGCAGCCCAGUACCAGUCAAGGUUCUGAGUGAAACCUGAUCACACAAAACUUACAAUUCAAGGCAUAGUCCAUUGUUCAGUUGUGGUCUGAUGUAGCUCAUUUUCUAGGUGGAAGUUCAACUUAACAGUCUCCACCAAAACCCUGGUAUAUCAAACAGGCACAACAUUGGGAACAUUUCUUAUGAGCCUUGAAAUUUGGUGGGGAUUGUUAGAAUAAUUGGGCUAGGCCCAAUUUAUAAUAUUAAAUCUCAAAGGCCCAUAAUAAAUGUUGAGGAUAAUAAUACCACCUCAGGAUUUAAACGAGAAAUAUCUCAACCUAAAUAGGGAGUUAUUAGAGGCUCCCUGUUGACCAGUUGAGGUGGGGGUCGGAAUGCCACACGCGCGCGCGCGCGCCGGGCCGGGCCGGGCCGUGGCCGUGGGCGAGGGCGAGGCGUGGCUGGCGGCGUGCGUACGUCACGUCGCUAUCCUUUUGCAGCCACUAACCCACGUUCCCACGAUUCCCUCCGCAACAGCGCGUCCACGUUCUUUCUCCUGAUAGAUAAGGAGGCCGCGAGUCCGAUCCGACUUCUUCGCUUCUUUCCCGGUGUUAGUUUCUCCUUCUCCGCGCCUGAGUUGCUCUCGCUUCUCCGCUUCUGAUCUCUUGCGCGCACGAGAGAUUGGAAGGAGUAGUGCCUCCGAAACCACACCUUCGCCUGAGAUCUGCACCGGGUAGGCGGGUGAUCAGGUUUUUGGGGAGUGCCUCCCGCACGACUGCUCAUCGCCAUGUCUGGAGUUGCUGCCGCCACUGCUGGCAGAGGUGGUACGCCGUCGCCGACAGGAGCUGGAUCUGGAUCCGGAGCUGGUGCGCCAGGAGGAGGUGCCGUGAAUGACUACAACAACGGAGGCAAUUCUGCCUCACCAUCCAGCGGAGGGCCAUUCUUGGGGUAUAAUCUUCUCCUCCUGCUACUGCUGUUAGCGCUAUUACUGUUCCCAUUGUUAGCGCUAUACUAUGUGCGCUAUGUUUUGUUCCUGUUCUACAUGAUGCCUCUAGCAUGUUAUCGUGUUACUGGUAUGUUCCUGUUCCUGGCAUUCAUGAUGCGCAUAGUAUGCUACUGGUUAUGUUAAGAUCACGCUACACUGCUUAUGCCAUGAUCAUUGUUUCAUUUUCUUGGAUUAAAAUAUGCCGAUUAAUGACUAUAUUUCCAACAUCCUCCCCCGCGCAUGGACGGCCGACGAGCUCCUCACCCGGCAGGCGGACGGCCAGCGAGCUCCUCCCCCGCGCACGGACGCCCGUGAGCUCCUCACCCGGCAGGCGGACGGCCGGCGGGCUCCUCCCCCGUGCGCGGACGCCGGUGAGCUCCUCCCCCUGCGCACGGACGGCCGGCGAGCUCGCGGGACUGCCGGCGGGCUCCUCCCCCGAGCGUGGACGGCCGGCGAGCUCCCCCGUGUGUCGUUGACGUCGUGCCGCCCCGCUUCUACUGAUGGAAGGUGAGAGGAGUGGAAAAGAUGAAAGAGAGAGAGGGGGGACCGGGGGAGAGGUGAGGAUGACGGCCCACAUGUCCGUGGGUCCCACUAUUUUCUUUUUUUUAAUGACAUGUCGGUCCUACAAUUUUUUUUAUUAAAAGUGCCAGAUAAGCGACACAUCGACGACACGCGGGACGAAAACUGGUCAACAACACCACCUCUGCCAAAACCGCUUUUAAAACCGCCCAAGAAUAUAAUUUGCAUCGGUUUUAAUGGUUAAAGGAGUAGAGUCAAAAGUAUAAUUUUUCCUUACAGGAACAAUGUCUGGGCUUCUGUCCGUCAUACCCCCUAGGCUGCACUUGUUCAGAGUUCAGUCUCUCUUCCUUAUCUGAGGGUGGCAAAUCGCACCAAAGCUAGUGCUAAUCAGAAAGGCAAACGGAUAAUGAAAAAUCACAGCUCAGACACGAAAGGGGAACUGUAUCCAUAUCUCGGAAAUUACAAGGCAGCAGCUGCGAAAUCUCUCGCUGCAAUCUUUAUUACAUCAGCAUUUUUUUUACAUGAUUCUGUACACAACACAGGGGAGAUCUCUCGCAGCUCCAUAGAUCCUGACCAAAACCCAGAUCUUGACGACGAUGACGACGCGACGAGAUUAGCAAAAAAGCUAGGAGUAGAUCGAAAAUAACAAAACAAAACCUUUUUUUCCCUAAUUUUUUUCUGCUUGUUUGUCAAGAUGGGUGGAUGGAUGGAUGAUUACGCGGGCGGCGGCGGAGACGGACGCUCAGCGCGGCUGCUGGAUGGGGCGGGGGUUGACCCUAGCGGCGGCGGCGGCGACCCUCCUGGGCGCCUUGUCGGCGUACCUGGGCACCUCCGGCGGCGAGGAGUGCGCGCGCCACCACUUGUCGAUGCCCCACGCCACCACCUCGGCGGACCCGCCCUUCACCUUCUUCCCCCCGGCGCCGCCGAAACCCUUGCCCUCCUUCUCAUCCGCCGGUUCUCCCACCAGAUGAGGGGUGGAGGAGAAGAGGUCGUCGGGGAGGAGGAACCCCUCGAGGUCGUAGCCGUCGCCGUUGUCGUUGUCGUCGAGGAGGCCCAGCGCGGAGUAGUCCCGGAGCCAGCGGUCGCGGAAGGCCGGGGAGGAGCCGACGAGGCGCCACCACUCCGGGGAGAAGUCCUCCACCUCGGCCACAGCCGGCUCCACGGCAGCGACGCCGCCGCAGCGCCAGUAGGUGGCCGACCAGCCCGCCGGCACGAAGGGCUCCGCCCACGGGUUCAGCUUCCCGCCGCCUCUCGCCACCUCCAUCUCGAUCUCGAUUGCUCACUCACUCCCUCGCUCGCGGAUGGAAAAGGGGAAAAUAUGGAUAUGGAUAGAGGAGGAGAUAUGACAGAGAUGGUAAUAUAGCUGAGCAGUACUAGUACGGUGCGCCGGUGAUGAAGGGGAAGGGGGGGGUGACGUGUCUGUCGUCUUUUCGGUCGGUCUUAUCCGUUGCGGCGGGGUGGAUGGGGGGAUGGAUCGAGGGGCAGAGGCCCACGGUAUUGUGUGCUGUUUUAACGUUUUCCUUCUUUUCCAAAAGAUCCCUAUCGGUCUAUCUAGUCGUUGGCGUGGCGGCUUCACGCCUCACCCUGGCCGACCUGACACUUUGGGAUUUGGGUCCGCGGUGCUGUAGCAGUAGCAGUCGCAUUUGCAAGUGUUUGAUGCAAAUUCAAGCAACCAAAUUAUACAAGAUACUUCGGCUGUUUUUAGUUCACCCCUAACUACUCCAAACUUUCAACUUUUCAUCACAUCAUAUCCAAAAACUUUCCUACACAUAUAAACUUCUAACUUUUUUUCCAAACUUCCAACUUUCUUCAAACUUCCAAUUUUUUUCAGGAACUAAACACACAAUCUGUCCCAAAAUAAGCACAAUCAUAAGUUUCUCUAUUAAACUUUAAUCAUCCGUCUUAUUUAAAUUAUUCUAUAGUUAGUAUUUUUAUUGUUAUUAAAUUGUAAAACAUGAAUAUUACUUUAUCCAUGACUUAUGCUUUUUUUAAAAAAAUAAAUAAGACAAACUAUUAAAGUUAGACAUGAAAACUCAUCACUGUGUUUAUUUUGGGACAGAGGGAGUAAUCAUCUCUCUCUCUCUCUAUAUAUAUAUAUAUAUAUACACUGUUUCACCCCUACACUGUCGCAGUUGUCUGAGCCCGUUGUUGUCGACGGGGCGCUAUACGCCGCUGCAGACCUCGUCGACCCAAGCAAAGAUUGGAUGCUGAUGAGGUAGUGAAGCGGCGACGACCCUGAAGGCGGAUCUGAAGCUUGCCAAUCUACCGACAGUGUUCUCACCGGGGACCUCGCGUGGCCCACGCCUCCUGAUAGCCAUCACUUGCCUCGAUUUGUCGUUGUUCUUUUCCUUGUCUUCACCUAAGAGAGGGGAGAGGCGGCAGCAAUAUGGUCCGGAGAGGGAGAGGACCUCGACCUCGUCCCACCGCCAGAUCCAUGUCACCGAACUCUAGUCAUCCCUUGCUCUCGCGUCGCUGACCUUGUUGUCUCUCGCUCAUAGUCCUUGCGUUCCAUGCUACUGAGCUCGUCAGCAUGCCGGCCAAGGAAGGAUGACCGCCAACCAUGGGAGGAGGAGAGGAGGGGUGGUGCACCAACAGCGAGUGGAUGGAGAGAAGCAGGGUCGUCGCCAUGGAAUGGUGGGAACCGAGAGUGAGGAAGGGGAUAAGGGAGAGAGAGGGGGGAGGGGGAUUUCAUAUGUUUUCUGUAUUUCAGGGUGUCCAAUGUAAAUUUUAAAUAAAUUGGAAAAAAAAUAAGAAUUGGAACAAAAAGUAUCCGGGGCUGAAAUUUAAAAUAAUUAAGGGAAAAUUGGAACCAUGCCAUUAUAAUUUUGUAAAAUUUAAGAUAUGCCAUCCUGACCCACAUGUCAUUGACUCAUGUGGGUCCUACAUGUCAUUGAGAUACCGAUGACAUAUCUCAAACUUUGCAAAAUUAUAAUGGCAUGGUUCCAAUUUACCCUAAAAUUAAAGCUACUCCUAGAACCACUUGAAUUGUGAAGAACCCAUAUUUUAAACCCGUAGUCUUAGCCUAUGUGGCACCUCGGAAACUCUCAUAUGAGUGUCCUGCACUGUGAGUGCCCUAAGAGCAGGUACCGAUUGAUUUCUGAUGGUGAGAAGAUAAAUCUAUAAUUUUGCAAUAACUAUUUCUCCUUUGCUCGCGCUAGAGCGUGGAUGCAACAGUUGCCGCUGCCUUAUCCACUUUCGCUUAAGUGCCACCGGCGCUUGCCGUUGUUUCCUCCACUUUUCUCACAAGCGGCCAUCGUUGGCUACCAUCUCCUCCUCUCCGACGCGCACAUGGACACGAUAGCUGCAUCCGCUUCGCUUGAGCACCACCUGUCGCUGCCUGUCGUCUCCUCCACUCGUUCUCGUGCACGAGCAUCGCUAGCUACCAUCUCCUCUGCCCCCACUCAUGUCUGGACUAUGAUGGCUAUAGACUCCGAAGGCUGCAGUCUGCUGACUCAUGUGCUUAUUCUCCAUGGACGGCAACAACAUGAUAAGUGUGUUAUUAUCCAGGUAGAAAUGCUCCUAAUUAUUUUUUGCGUAGCCAGUGAUCAAGCAAGAUUCCUAAUUAGAGCAUGCGCUAGGAAGAGAAGUCACAUGUGGUUUCGGAUUGCGUAGUGACAAGCUAGAGUUACGGUUAGGGUUUUGAGGUGGGAUGGGAAGGACAGUGCUGGGAGAGAGAAGUGGGUGAUCGGAUUUAGAGGGAUGGCCUAGGCGGCGACAGAUCGGCAGUGGAUGGCGGACAAGGGGCGGGUGGAGCCAUGGGGUUGGUAGCGAGGCAAAGCGAGGUGAAGAUGACACGGAAGGGGAGGAGGUGAGCGGGACAAGGCCACACCAGCACGUUGAUGCCUUUCAAGCGGUGGCACGGUUGGUGGCGGCGGUGGAGAAAGAGCUAAUCUAUUACUGGAGGGAGGAGGAGGGUCUUACCGGAGGGCCGUCGCCGUUGCCCGCUCCGUUCGGUCGUCAUCACCGUCGCCCACUCCACUUGUGUCGUCGUCACCGUAGCUUGAUGGCAUCCCCUCUUCUCCAUUGGAACAGUUCGCCGGACGCCAGGGGAGGAGGAAGAGGUUUGCCAAGAGGCCAUCGUCGUUGCUCGCUCACGUGCACUGAUAGAGAGGGGAUGUGAGGAAAGGAUGAGUGCAUAAUGGAAUCAGGGGGAGUGGACGGGAAGGACAUGUGGAGAGUCAGGGGAAGUGUGGGUGACUUCCCCUCCUGACGCUCAUGGGCGUGAAAGGAGCCCCUUAAUCAAAUAGAGUAUGUUGUUAUUACUUAGUUUGAGCUCGCAUAAGUGAAGUAGGUCGACGACGUUGGUGGCCCUGCUAGCGCAUGUCGCCGAAACUGUUGAUUUGAGGGUGGCGCUAACGUAGAGGAAAGAUGAAUAGGAUGGCUAGUCAUGCACUGCUUACAGCCUUGAUACCAAUUGUGCCCCUAACAAAUAAACGGUUGGAUGUGAGUGGUACCUCAUGAUACAUGAUAUAGUGCUACUUUCUCAAAUAUUGUAAAAUUGUUUACUGUAACCAGUACGGGUUUAUAUAAGUGUCGUGGAAAAUGACCGUAUCGACAAUUAAAUGGCCAUAUAUACUGUGACGGUUGCAAAACCAUUUUAUUAACCUGAUUUGGUCAUAUUGUUGUUCAUGAAUGUCGAAACUAAGAAAUAAACUACACCAAAAUGAAUAGCCAUGUGUAAGAAUAUCCUCCCCCCCUAAAAAAACAGAUGAGUAGCACGUUUAAUGCUUAUUUUAAAAUAGUUAUAUUAUGAUUUUUAUACGUAGCAAAGAAGCACCAAAACUAUUAACAGGUUCACUCGUUUCUCUUUAUACAAGUUGGGUUUAAGCGGGAUUUUUAUUAUAGAUGAUAUCAUUAUCAAAGGAAAUAUUGGAAAAAAAAUUCAAAAUAAUGUUUGACAGAUAUAUUGUAACGCAUAUAUCAAUUCUAUCAAAUUUUAUUGCAAACUAUGAUGUAUAGAUUAAAAAAGAUAAUUACUGUCACAGAGUAAAUCGAACCAAUUUUAAAUAGCUCGGUGUAAAAUAAGAAAUAAAAAGAGGUGAAAUGAGUGUAGUUCAACUACUAUGUUUCUUAUUAUGGAAUCAAUUCAUCGGGAUUCAAAUUCUACACUUGAAACAUGUACUCGUAUUAUCUUUAAACAAUGACGGAUCUUCUCGAACCAGACUGACACAUCUACCCAAAGCUUGAAAUAGCGCCCCUUACCUGUCUCCGCUAGCAUAGGACCAAGCAAUCCCCAUACCCAGAUCCCUAUUCUCCGCUAACAAAAUGACGUAAUCUGGUGAAAUAGUUUGGGGGUGGACUUUCUUUUUCUUCUUCUCUGGAUUGCCUAUCUGCAUGUGUUAAAAAAAAUCCAGCAAGGAAAAGUCUUGAAUGUGUGGCCCAAACUAUCCUCAUUUGGGCCGGGCCAUUUUGGCGAGAGCGGGGACCUACAUCGUCUAUGAGAAAAGUUGUUAAUUCCACAUUUCCACGUCGACAUCAUUAUAUAUCUUUAUUGAAAAAAAACUAUUUUUGCGAGGAAAAAAAUAGUUUUUUGGCCCACCUUUGUUAACACAGGGCACUGGACGAGAUUAAAAGAAAAAAAAACAAAGGCCCGUGUGGAUGAUACGCAUAAAUUUGAUAGUAAACGGUUCAUGGAAACAUGAAAACAUUUCCGGAUUCCAAACGUGGCGUAACCUGCAUCUGCAUAUGUAGAGAUAUUCAAUUGGCACCAGCGAGCGAGCGAGAGGGAGGGAGUGUGACCCACACAGGCCACAGUACCGCACACACUGACGUCUCCAAUUUGUUGUAUAUAAUCACAUAAUGAAGUACAAGUUUAAUAUUCGGUUUGCUAUUACAUAUAUACGCCUAAUUAAACACAUGCAAGACAAUCAAAUCAUCCAAUGAAAUGAAUCGAUCAAUAUCCUCCCCUAAACACGCAAAUUAACCCCACCGGCCGAUUCCAGUCCCAAAUAUAAACAAGAAACAAAGCCGUACGUGUACGUAUGUACCACACGAGUAUACCACAUCAUCACCACCACUAUGAAGAAACCAACAAUCAACUAGCUGUACAAAUAACAGGAUCAGACGACGGCGAUCGACAUGGAUGGAUCCCAUCAGAUCAGAUGUAGGUCUGCUUGGCGAGCUUGAAGCCGGAGACGAGGGCGGAGAGGGCGAGGCAGAGGAAGGCGAAGAAGGCCAUGCUGAUGGACGCCGCCGACGAGUCGGUGAACACGUUGUCCGCGCCUUCCCUCAUCCUGUUCGUUAUCGGGAUCGCCGCCGACACCGCCGACAUCAGCAGGUACGCCGUCACCUGCAGUAGCACCAUAUGCGUAUCGAAACCACGAUAAAACAUUAGUGUUUUAGCGUGCAUUGUAUAUAUACUAGCUUCAUUUUUUAAUAUAUAAUGCACAACACGUUUAAUCAUUUAUUUUAUUUCAAAAAUAGUUAAUUAUUAUACAUUUGUUGUGGGUUGUUUUAUCGUUAAAAAUACUUUAAGCAUAAUUUAUAUAUUAUAUAUUUUUUUCAAAACUUUUGAAUAAGAUAAUGGUUAAGCAUGUGUUAAAAAUUAACUAUGUUACUUUUUUCUAUAAACUUGGUCAAACUUAGAGUUAAGUAGUUUGACUUUGACCAAAGGCAAAACAUUUUAGAAUCUAAAACUGAGGGAAUAUUUAUUAAAAUACGAAUAUAGUAUAAAGGUCACUGUCAACAUUAAUUAAUUAAGCACAUAGUAUAUUAUGUUCAGAUACUCCGAGGUUCGUAUUGCCAUCAUGCACAUGCUUAGCGUAUCUAAUUCUUACAGGUAGUGUUUAAAAUGGCCGGCCUGCUAUCAAGUCAAAGGCUCUAGAGCAUUUGUCUUUAAUUUUGCUUAAUUGGAAUUUCGACAGAAGGAAACUUAGAUGCGAAGCUACUUGGAUAACAUACAGGUCAUUGUCAACUUCAUAUUUUGUCUUUAUCCACAACCUCAAUUCCGUAAGCAAACAGCUCUGAUCAGUGGUCACCACGAACAUAUGAGAUCAAUCAUAAACAAACUCUGACAUUAUUUUAGAUCGACUUGAUAUCAUAUCAUCAAACCAAGGGCUCAUGCAAUUAAAUAUCUCAAUGCUCGUCAGUGGUUUUUGAAACAGACUCAAACAGCUUCUUGCAUUUCCAUAUGGAUCGAAAUGUGCAAUUUGUGAUCCAGACAAAUCUGUGCUGGCUGAUGUUCAUCAGACCAUUAGUAGGAAGAGAACUACUAAUCCUAGUACUACAACUUCUAUUAUGCAGAGGUAUGUAAGGUAUGAAAUGAACUGUUACGGGAAAUGCCAUGUGGACUCAUUAUGUCUCUUUCAACGACAACUAAUUAACAAUCAGCCUAUGGAAUGGAUCAAAAUUCCAGCCAGCACAUGACAGCUUUGCGCUAUAAUUCUCUGCUCAACUGCAUCCCAUGAACAGUUGUCAGGACGAUCGUGCUGUGCAUUAGCACUACAGCAGAGCUAAUUCUCAAAACCCUAACUAAAGAAUUGCUCCCUUACUUAACACCAAAGAUAAAACCUGAAUCCCAAUGAGCAAUCCACACUCUGCAAAUGAUGAAUAAUUGAUAAACAAAUUUAAGUUUCAUUCCGGUGUCCAAGUAUCCAUCCGGUUUUCCUAUUGUGCAAACAAGCAAGUGGCUAAUGCUUUUGAUUGAUUAAAUAAAUUUGAGUUUAUCUCCUACGGCGAGAUGAUGCGACAGAUGUUCGAUGCAUUGCAUAGAUGUCACGGCAAUUAAUUGAACAGAGGUCAGCAGGAAGAGUGCAACCGAGGAACGCAUAAUCGAGGCGUGCGGCGAGCGGCGCUGACCUGAUCUCCGGCGAAGUCGACGAGUACGGCGACCUUGCCCUGCAGGUCCUGGCCGCCGGUGAGCCGUACGCCGUGCCGCACCAGCUGCAGCGUCGUGUAGAUGAAGGCGAGCACCCCGAUCGCGACCACGUACCUGCACAAAGAGAAAAAAGCACCCACCAACCGUUCGGUCAAAUGUGUUCACCGCCGCAAGCAAUUCACCGUCGCCGCCGCCGCCGCACCACAACGACCGAGGCGGCGAGACAUCCAUCAAUGGAUCAAGGAUGGGUAGUGCACUUGGGGCAAUGGCGCGGCGGGAGAGGGGAGCUCGCUCGCUCGCUCACCUGUACUCCUCGUAGUGCUCGAACUGCCUCCAGUCGCCGUGGUCGUUGGCGCCCAUGACGACGAAGGCGAGGAGGGAGAAGGCCCACGCGGCGACGCGGAGCGCCGACCCGGACUUCUCCAGGAGGUCCUGCCGCCGCCAGCGCCGCACCACGGCGCUCACCACGCCCUCGCCCGACGCCGCCGCCGCCGCCGGGGCGCCGCCGCCGUCGACGUUGGCGUCUGCGGCCGCGGCGCCCUUCUCGACGUCGGCGGCGGGGGCGCCCGAGGAGGCUGCUACGGCGGCGCUCAUGGCGCGCGCGUUCUCGGGGACGGAUUCGCGGAGUAGGGAAUCGGUUUUGUGGUGGUGGUGGCGUCUUGCCGGGGAGCUCACGAGAGUUAUAUGAGGCGAGCCGAGGGCCGAGGGAUCUUCUACGACGCCGGCGUGUGCGCCAGGUCACCUGCCAAGUGCCAAGUGGAAAGAGGAGUACCCAUCACGCCAUUCUCUUUAGCUACUUUACCUGGCCGUGUUUAGUUUUCCCCCUAUUUCUAACUUUCUAUCACAACAUAUCACAUCAAAAACUUUCCUACACAUAUAAACUUUCAACUUUUUUUUUCUAAACUCCCAACUUUCUUUAAACUUCAAACUUUUUUCAGGAACUAAACACACCCAUAUUAUAUUUUGCUGUGAUUUACUCCCUUCGUUUUUUAAUAAAUGACGUCAUUGAUUUUUAAGAUACGUAUAAACUAUUUGUUAUUAAAAAUAACUAAUAUUUUUAAAUAUUAGAGUGACUUGGUUUAUUGUCAAAUAUUUUUUAAGCGUGACUUAAAAUUUUUUAUAUUUGUAAAAAAAAUGAAUAAGACGAAUUAUCAAACGUUUAUUUAAAAGUUAACGGCGUCAACGGAGGUAGUAUCUGCUCCACGUUCGAAUAUAUGUUUUCAAAAAAUAUAUCUUUUAUAUACACUUGUGCUUCAUGACGGGUUGAAAAAAAUAUGGACAAAUGGUUUUAUGGGUUGUGGUUGUGGGUUUAGUUUUACCUAUUUUUUUUUAAUUUGGGUGGUUUUUUACGUCAUUAGGAAAGUAGGGAUGGUGGAGGAGGACGAAUGACGAUUCGUUUUUAUAUAAGUAGCUAUUUUUGAAAAUAUGAUGAAAAAGUCUCUCUUUUAAAUGAGUUUGUUGUGAUAGGACACGUCAUACAAAUUAUGCCGACAAGAUAGGUUUUCAUAAUUUGGACUUACUGUGAAAAUAUCAAAUAUGGAGUUGUCGGCCGUUCACUCAUUGUUUCGUAACUUGUGGGUGUUCAAAUUAGCUUAACAUAAUCACAUAUGCCAAAAUAAAAUUGUGGCUUGACGACGUUAUUCUCGGAAAACAAAAUAGAUUGUUUCACAUAAGUAAAGAUGAACAUAGGUCCUCCAUUUAGGUCACUUCAGGAGAGCAAGAUAUCUGCAAAACUCAAAUCUUUAUUAUCAUUACAGGAAUACAAUACAUAUAAUCUAGAUAUGCCAUGAUUAAGUGGUGCAAACUAUUUCCUGUUUUCUCUGGUUUAUACGAUAAUUUCCAGGUCCUCCAGGCAAAAGGGGCUGCUCAUUUUAUAUAGUCUUGUCUUAAUAAUAUGAUAAAUCAGUUAAAAACUAUGAUAAAUAUUUUUUGCAUGGAAAUAUAUAUGAUAGAUAAUUUGAAUAGCGUCCUCCUCUAUGAUAUCAUCUCUACUAGGAUUUUCAAUAAAUUUGUUUAUUCUUGUUCUUGUUUCGUAUCAGGAAAAAGAAGGCACGAACCACGCCAAUUUUCUUCAUUUGUUUAAUUUUGAACAAUUAAGCUUGUUCCUCCAAUUUGAUUAUUAUUUUAAAAUUAACGUAUCAAGGUUGGCGUGUUAAUUAUACCUUGUUUUCUAGUUGGGUCACUCUAAAAUGUAAGGUAUAUUUAUUAUGAAAGCAAAUUAAACAUUUAGUACUGGUUACCAAGCUUUGGCUCUAGAACCAAAUAGUCACGGUCCUACAAAAGUACAAAUAGCUAGCCUCGUCCUUCAAUACCUUGCCAUCGAAAUGAAGUAAACUAAGCAAAUGGUUUGCCAAGGCAAGGAUGAAUGGAGAAUAUAGCCAGACCAAAAAUUGAAAAUAUACUGUUUAUGGAUUUGUUUUGCAAAAAUAUACCAGAUGGAGAAUGAUUUGCACAAAUAUACUGUCGGUAUCGUGGCUUGAAAGAGCGAUACCUAGGUUCGCGACAACAAAAUGCGAUACUGCCACGCUAUCACACUAUUAACUCGCGAGGGUGCAUUUGAGCUGGCGGCGUCGCUUGUGGAAACAGCGAGUCCGCUAGAAUAUCGCUCUUUCGUAGAGCGAGAGCGCCAUGUGAAGGAACCGACAACGUGCCGGUAUCACGGUGUGCAAGCGCAAGAGCGAAAUCGGUCUCAUAAUCCCAACGCGCGAGACCGAGCAUGUCGUGGGACCUACAUUGGUGAAACGACCGGGUGCAAGUGGGCCGCCGGUCUCGCACGCGCAAAGCGCGAGACCGAUAUCGGUAUCGCUGUCCCAAUGCGCGAGACCGACGCGCGGUAUCGCUCUGGCAAAGCGAGAGAGCGCUUUGCUAUCGCUCAAUCAAAAAUGGAUACCGGCUAUACCGGCGAAUACGUACAUAUCGUUAGUGAAUACGGCCGCUGAAUCGUGUCUAUGAAGGCCACAAGUGAACAUGCCGUAUAUACGAAUAUGCAUACACACAUAUAUAUAUAUAGCCGUCAAAUAGAUCAUCUUCUUGUUGGCUCAUGCAUGUACACGUAUACACAUUAGCCAAGCAUGCAUGUAUAUAUGGCUGAACACACAUAUAGAUGGACAUAUGCCAGGACGUGCAUGGCUCAUGCAUUCCAUUAGCAGGUGGGACGCGCUCUCGCGCUGUCAAAGCGCGAGACUGCUUGGGGCCCCGCCGGUCUGGGUUCGCGUCAAACGGCCGCGAAAUCGCUCUACGAUCGUGCGAGACCGAGUCGUUCUCGCACUUUUGGAAUGCGAGAUCGAUGUAUUAGCGCUCUGAUAGCGCUGGCGCCUUUGCUAAUCCAUUAUGCGAUAUCACACUCUCGCUUAACCAAAGUGCGACGGCGGUGUAUUUACGCAAAUCUUCCCCUAAUUAGUAUAUUCUUGCAAUUUCGUUAAAAAAAUUGUAUAUUUUCAAAAAUUUUUCUAUAUAGCCAAAGCCCAAGUGCCAACAAAGAACAAGUGCCUCUAGUUAGCUAACCAAAAAUAUUUUUUGUAAACCUUUAUAUCCCUAUUUUUAGUAGUUUAAUUUUUGGGGAAAAAUACGACUAGGUAAACUAGGCAAAAAUAGACAUGAACAAGAAAAAGGUAGGAAGAGAAAAUUAAGUACUAUAUAUCUCAAACCCUAAUUAGGACUUCAAAUUCAAACUUUAAGUAAUUGAUAAACCAAUAAGCAAACGAUAAAUGACUACCUUCCUAGUAAUGGAAUCAAAUGAAUCCCUCACGUCGAAGGUUUUUUCUUCGUCUCCUAUUAUAUGUACGACUUUAUUUUAUUAGGCGACCAGCAUCCGACCAUGCCUCAUCUUUCAAUCGUGCGUCUAGUUUCUCUCCAUGCAGACCAACUUCUGUCCAUGUAGGAUUAGGCAAGUAACAACUAAAUAACUAGUCGGACGAAGCUUGUAAGCACCAGUUGUAUGUGUGGCCAUUUGCUUUUUCUCUUUCUCUCGUGUAGCCGCAUGCCCGCACCAAAUAGACAAGCUGGAACGUAGUGGCCACAGAAGAUCCAUGUCACCUGUGAGGCCGUGAGACCUCUGCUCUCCUCUCCGCUCUUCAGCUCUUUGCUCAAUUGCUUUCACCCACGACCACCGGCCACCACCAUCACCAGCUAACUGAUCCAGAUCAUCAUCAAUGCCUUGUUAAUGCUAAGCUCCAGCUCUUCACUAAAAACGUCUUUGGCUGAAGUCAAGACGUCCAAGCAACCACUUGAAUGAGUAUAUUGAAGCUACCUCCAUUAACAGGCUGCUGGCUUUAUUCGGGUCUGAAGACAAACCGUGCAAGACAGCUGAUCCCUAAUAAAUCAUGCAUGUUCCAAAUUCCAAUCACAACAAAAGUUGACAGGUAUAGAUAGAUAUGGUUUAAAUGAUCAUACCACGUCGCUCUCGUGAGAUAAACAUGUUGAAGUAACUGUCAAUGUUGUGCUCCAUGAUAGCGCAGGCAUGUCACUGAUUUUCUUUUUAAGUCGUACCUUUUGUUGGUGAGAACAGCUAGUGGCUUUCACUCGGGGAAAAACUAGUUGGCACCCCGCGCCAUACCGCAGGUUUUGCUAGUUUUAUCAUUGAAUAAAAUCAAUGUUUUAAAUGAUUAGAUGCAACUCUCUGUAUAUACAAAAUAGAUGCUAAUGCGGCUUCAUAUAUAGCUUCUGUUAUUACAAUACAAUUCAUGUUUUAUUUUUUGAAACAUCAUCGUGUAUUGUUAUGAUAUAUGAAAGUUAUUUUCAUGCACAGCCUGGAUAUCGACACAAUUAGGUAGUGUAGCACUUCUCUGCUUUGUCUCAAGCAUGUUUCAAAAAUGAGUUUGGAUUAAUGAUACCUAAUUAUUGUAUGUUAUCCAAUUGUUUAUAACAAAAUAAAGCUCACAUCUUAUGUAAUAAUUGGAGUUGUAUUUUAAAAAAAGAUUAGUAUUAUCUUUGAGGAUUUGGAUGUGCAGAAUGGAGAAAAAUGUCACACGUGAUUAUGAGCUAAAGGGAGGUGAAUGGAUGAGUAAUCAAUGAUUAAAUUAGAUGGAUGAGUAGAUAACUUCUUAAUCCAACGGCUGAUAACUCUAUACUAAUGCGAUUCAAUGGCUUAAAAUUGUUGAUGAUGUGGCUUCUUGCAUGUCUUGUUUUAUAGGAGUAAAUGCUUCUUAGUGGGUAUUAACUAUAUAGGAAGAUAGGAUGAGUAACCACACAUGGCGAAUGUUAUGGUUUAUGCGCUGUGAUUACUUAAAAAAAUAUCUUUUUUUCUGGUGGCUAAAAUCAGUCUUUGCUGGCGGCUAGAAUAGCCUCAUGUGACUGAAGGCCAGAGAAAACCGCUAGCAAUAACUAGUAAGGUAGCCCGCGCAUUUGCGCGGGCAUGUAUCGUGGGCUGCAUUUGAAAACAUAUCAUAUUUAUUAGAUAGCCUCUGCCAUGUUUUGGAAGUACAUUUCCUCAACAAAUAUUCUUCGUUGGCAUCAUUUUGAUAAUUUCUCUACGCUAUAUACUAUAUCGUAUUUAAUUAAUAUGUAUAAGCAAUUAUCUAUAAUCUUCGUCAUCAUCUAAAAAGGAGCUACACCUAGUUUGUUAAGAAAACAUGAUUAUUAAAUUAAAAGCAAGGUGUUUUUUUCUUUGUUUUUUGAAUGCUUUGGGCCCUGUUGGUGAAAACGUAAGACCUAGUGAAUUGUUAAAUUCACUGUUCGUUUUUCCCCGCCAAACGGUUUUCAUGCAGCUCCUAGUCACCGUGUUGAGAUGUGGUCAUUGCACCUAGGGAGGUUGCCUUGUGAUUCAUCAUAGUGGUGAUCACAUUUUUGGUCAAGCUUAGUUAGUCCUAUUUCCAUGUCUUGUUAUAUCGUAAAUAUCCAAAGUUAAUCAUUCAAGUAUGUAUAUACAACAAAAAUAUAUUCGCAAACGAUUAAUGUUCAUAUAUAGGGAUGAUUCACCUUUUGAAUGGUCUAUGCACAAAGAAAAUAAAUGGAGUUACCCGGAAUGCUUAGAAGGCCAGAACAACUUAUAACAUGCUUGAACAUACAUCAAUGAUACACUAAAAGUGCAUUAAGCACCAUCUAAAGUCAAUUAGAUGGUAACAUAGUUUAGAGCAGAUACACGAAAGAUCAUUUAGCAUGCUUAGAUUAUUUUAGCACAUUUUACAAAAGUUCACGAAGUAAUUGGAUUUUUUUUCUCUAACUAAAGCCAUUGGAUUUUCUAUGCAUUGGUGUUUGGAUUUCAUAUUCUAGUUAGUCCUAUUUGCUUAGAUAGUGCAUAUCUAAUUUACCUAUGCAUGUUUUAGAAACAACAUAUGAUGAUGCAACCUGUAUUGGAUUAUUUCAUAAUUCUUUUACAGCAAUUCAAAUGACAUGUAAAAGGGCAAGGGUGUUCUUCCUCAAUAAAACAAUGUUUUAUAAUUCACAUUGUAAUUUUUGUUUGGAUACUAUUGAUUUAAUUUAGCUAUACAUGUUUGCAGAAUGAUGUAUAGUGAUGUAAUAUAUGCAGCCAAUUUGUUUAAGGUAUUUCAAUCAUAUUUAGAUGGUAUGCAAAGCGCAUAGGGCCGUGGACUGAAUGUGGUCGAAUGUCAUAUUUUGUAUAAAGGAAAACUAUAAUGAUACCGAUCUUAAAUUCCUAGUUUAAUUAUAACCAGAGCAACCAUAUUUUUAGAAAUCAGACGUGCAGCUUAAAAAUUAUUGUUAUUUUAAUACAUUGAUUAUUUCUCUUUUAGUUUACUCCUACGCAAAAAUAGGGAUGGGAUAGGAAGUGGUCUGCGCGCAUUUGAGGGGGACAAGGAGGUAGAUGCGAUUUAUUUUUCUAAUUUCUCCAAAUAAUGUAACUUAAAACCAAUGAUGAUAGGUUUAAUUUUUUUCUCAAAAUUUCUAAGAUUAUUUCUGAUUUUCAGGACAUCGAUUUAAUAGAAAUAUUUAUAAUUUUAAAAUGUGACAUAUGGUGAUUUAAGUGUGCUCUAAAGGGUGUUUAAUUGGUUUUUAUUUUGUAGACUGAUUUAAUAUGAAAUAAUACAUGUUGUUAAUUUGUUAUAGUUUUUCAUUGUCAUUUAGUUUCCCGCAAAGGAGUAUUUUAAUUUUUAUAUAGUAAAAACAAAAUAUGAUGGAUAUUGAAUUAUUUAAUUACUUGUAAAUAAAACAAUAGUUCAAAAAAAAUUAAAAAUCAAAUAUAAAUUUAGAAAUUAUAAACCAUUUAGCUAUGUUUUUUUAAUAUUAGGUUGUUAGUUAAAAAAUAGAAGGGGAGAGGGUCAGAGGAGGUAUAUGUACAGCAGGAUGAGGGGCGGAGAUUUUUUUUUCUUGAGACAUAUUCCAACAGGUUCUAGUCUUUAGUUAUCUAUUUUUAAAAGAUAGAUAUAAUUUUAGAUCUAUUAGAAAAUGUGUCGGGUAUUGUAUUUAUCAAUAUAAGCUAAAUGUUGACAAUCAUAUAGUUUAAAAAUCUAUGUGAUUUUUCUAAAAAUGUAUCGAGUGAACCAAUAGGUAGUCUCUAGGAAAUACAUUUAUUUUACUUAAAUGCAGUUAACUUGGGUAUUGAAUUCUAAAUUUUAUUGCAAAUAAUCUCAUGUCGUGCACAGAUCAAAAAAAUAUCUAUUUAGAUGGUGUAGUUGUUUAAAAUAAUUUAAUACAAAAUAUGUUUUCCAAUAUUAAUUAAGAAAAAUGCUUGAAAAUAGGAGGGCAUCGCCCUCAUGUAUUAUAGGGUGAGAGUAGGGACGAUAUAUGAUACGUUAUACGUGCAUAAGUAACUACGUACAUAUGGUGUGGUGUGGGCCUUUCUUUCUGUUUCUUUAAGUAAAUCCGGUGUGAGCCUUUCUCUUUUUUUUUUUAAGUAAAUCCGAUGGUAGAAAAUAUGGGUCCACCGUAUAUUAGUGAAAAUCGACAGUUAGAUGUUUGGUUAUUUUCUAUAAUUCGCUAGAGUGGCACAUGGGGAGAUGAGAGCGCUUGUAGAAUGCUAUAUAUAUUAUAAUCUCAUGUAUAUUAUAUUAUCAUAUUAAUUAAUAUAUCAGUAAAUAAUUAGAUAAUUACUAUGUAUAUUUUUUUCUAUGGUUUUGGCACUACAAUUAUAUAUAUAUAUAUAUAUAUAUAUAUAUAUAUAUAUAUAUAUAUAUAUAUAUAUAUAUAUAUAUAUAGUAAAUUUGUUUGGUGCUCCAUGGUGCCCGGGCACUAUUGUUGAAAUUGAGUAUAUACCCAAUUCAAAUGAGUAUGAAACUUUUUCAAUUACUUAGGUAUUAACAUUAACUACUUUACUAACUAGUUUAAAGCAAGUUUGAACUGAAUUUGAACUUGUUUUUGUUAGAUUUUGAUUCUAGGUAUAUAGCAUCCAUACAUAUAAUUAGUUAGGUAUGUAAUCAUGGAUUGUGAAAUAAAGUUAAAUUUGAGUUGUUUUGUUGAUAAGUAUAGGUAUGAAUCAAAUUAUUAUAACUAGGUAUAUACUCACAAUUUGAAAAUUUUGAAAAAUUUGAGUAAUUUUGUGCAUUAGAUACCAUGGUGCCCGGGCACCAUGGUGCCCCAUAUGAGUGUCCAAACAAAUUUGUAUAUAUAGUAAAUUUACUAUAUAUAUAGUAAAUUUGUUUGGUGCUCCAUGGUGCCCGGGCACUAUUGUUGAAAUUGAGUAUAUACCCAAUUCAAAUGAGUAUGAAACUUUUUCAAUUACUUAGGUAUUAUAUAUAUAUAUAUAUCCAAGUGAUGUAUUAUAGUUUUUUAUAGAAAAAUAUGACAACAUAGUUUUUACUCACGUUGAUAGGUACUUUUUUUAGAUUAUGGAAUUUAUAUCCCGGCCUUGACUCAACAGAGCUACAAACAAUUAUUACAUAGUAUCAUUCAUAGAAAGAGUGUAGUUCAAAUGUAAUCAAACACACUCAACAAAAUAAAAAGCAAACCAAGAUAAAGAGUACACAUUUAUUCAAGUCUAUUCGUGAAUCUCCAUCCAUAGUUUGCAAAGAGUUGCAUCACCGUCGUCUCGAGUUUGCGACAUGCAUCCUUCAUAAGUUCACCAUCCUCUUCACACUUUUGUAGCUUUGUCCAAAACCGGAGCCAAUAUGUUACCUUGAAUAUUACCUGCAUAUAUGAAGUAUAUGGUGAUUUGUUAAAAACUAAAUCAUUCCUACUCAACCACAGGGCCUGGUACUUGGAAGGUUUAAAUCAAAAGAGAAUUAUAUAGCUAUCUAAUUAUUUGUUUCUAUAUAUUUGGUUGUUAGCCUGAAAAUAGAAGGGAGAGUAGGAUGGGGAGGGAGGUGAGUACAUAUUUUUUUUAAGUAGUAAACAUGUCAGGACGAGAGGAAUGUACAGAUUUUAUUUUCUCAAGAUAAAUCUAGCAGUGAAAAUUAAUAAUUUGAUUGUUAGCUAGAAAAUAGGAGAUGGACAGCAGGGAGAAUCGGAUGGGGAGGAAGUACGUACAUAGGUGCGCACGUUUCGUAUAAACGUGCCAAGAUGAUGGGAAUGUACAUAUUUGUUUUCUUGGAUAUACUUCUAAUAAUGGUGAAAAAUAAUAAUUUGAUGAUUAAAAAUAUUGGGUCCACCAAUUAAAUGAAAGAGCCAUGUAGAGGCGUGGGAGCAUUUGUAGGGUGCCACAUGGCGACUUAUGAGCGUUUCUAGGAAGAUUAAUGGACUUUUAGUAUAUGGAGUAAUAGAUAGAUUUAGCCGCCAAAGACAAUCGAUUUUCACUGGCAGCUGUGUUACGUGGGUCGGCAGUGACAAUCAAUUUUCGCUACCGUAUGUAUUAAGUCGGCCGCAUGUGAAGCUCAUUUUUGGGUAAAAGAGUUGAAAAUAUGCAGUGCAUCUGCUCUCUGACCGCCAGCAAAGAAGUUUUGAAAGAAAAAAAAUGAAAAUACUCAGAUGUAGCAGCCCUGCAUUCCCAAUCCACAUUGCAAAGCAAAUCCAAGAACAAGAACAUGUCACAAUACAAAUCCACAUAUCAAUGAGCACAAAAAUACAAAUCAACAUAUCAAUUAGCACAAACUUCCAGAGAAAUGGCUUUCCCAAUGCGUCUCCUCUGCCAGCCGUUGAAGACCUUGCCUUUGCCGGCAUCACCGUCAUUGGGUCAAAGGCCUCGCCACUGCCGUGGAGAUUGAACGCGCUGAUGAAGCCUAGAAGGGGGAGGGGGGUGAAUAGGUUGUCCAUGAAAACUUGAAAACAAAUCGCAGCGGUAAAAUUCAAACAGACCCGGAACUUCCUGGUAAGGAACUCCGGAACUUCUGGCCUUCCAGGCCCGGAACUUCCGGUGUUCUAGGACAGGAACUUCCGGGUAACAGAACAGAGAAGAAAUUCAAAUUUCGAAACAGGAGACUAAGCCAAUCUUCACAAGAAGGUGCACAGGUAUUCUAAGCAGAGGAUAGAUCACAGAAUCAUCCACAGAAACAUCACAGAAAGAGACAAGAGCGAUUUUAUCCCGAAGUUCGGAUCUUGCGAUCCUACUCUCCGUUGAGGAGCUCCAAAGAGUUGGGUCUCGAUUAACCCCUUGCCUCACUUGUGCAAAAACCCCAGAGGAAAUCCACAGCCUUCAACCCCAAACACUCUUAGGCAAAUUUCUAGAAUUGAGUGACCACCAAGAUCCAACUCAACCUACUUCUAGAAAUCCGCCACAAGUGUAGGUUACUCUACUUGGAAAACCUCUAGAAUCUCAGCACAAGAACUUCAUUCACUUACCUCGUUCCCUUUCGGAGGAGAGGAGAUCCUUCAUAAACUUACCCGGGACAUCCACAAUAUGCAACGGAUUCUCGCGGGUGACACCUAACCGUCUAGGAGAUCAUCUCCAAGAGUAAUAAGCACCGAGAUGACAGCCCACGAGAUAUUCCAAGUGCUCACCCAAGAUCCUAGUCUUCACACAUCUCCAAAUCUUCUUCUCUCCCUCUCAAUCUCUCUUUCUCACAAGAAUUAAACUCUAGAUUGAGUGGAGGAGGCAAGAAACACUUGGGAGAAGCUAGCAACAGCUCUAGGUUUGAAAAGUGAAAGUGGAAUGGCCAAGGAACGAGCUGGAAACGAGCUGUAUAUGUAUAACGGCUAGGUGACGUCAUCUAGCCGUUACUCACAAUUUUGAACUAGAAACUAGACAGGAAGUUCCGGACCUGGAAGACAGGAACUUCUGGAUAACACUUAGGAAAAUUUCUUUCAUCAGACCGGAACUUCCGGACCUGAUGACUCCUAGGGAAAUUUGCAAAAAUGACUCCUAGGGAAAUUUGACACUUGGUUCAUACUAAGAGCACUUGAGAUAUCUCAGAGCAUCACCUGGAACCCCUCUUAAUAGUACGGUUUUUCCUAAAAACUCGAUUGCAAUAAAUAAACUAUCCUAUGCACUUCUCGAGUUCCGGUUCGCUUUGAUUUUAUACUUUUGGGGGGUCUCCAAGCAUCCAUCUUCCACACCUUGGACUAAUGCACCUGAAAGAUACUCAAUGAACUCAUUAGUCCCUUAACCACAUUUGUCAUUAAUCACCAAAACCCACUAGAGGGAUUAAUGCACUUUCAGAGAUCCCGCCUGGAUCUGCCCGCUAUCCAUCGUGAACCAGCUCGCCGCCGCCAGGUCGAAGGCCUCACCACCACUAUUGAGCAGACAUCUGGAUCUGCCCGUUGCUCGCUGUGAAUGAGCUCGCACGUCUGUGCGACUUGUUGGCGCCAAAUCCACCACGAUGCAACUCAUCACUGACGGAUUCUCCAUUCGGAGGCCCACCGACGGGAGGGCGUGCGGAGGUCGGCGAGGAAGGAAGGCCGGACUCGGCGAGGAAGGUCGUGGCUGGCUAGUGGAGGAACCGUAGCUCCCGAGGGCUGCCGGUGAUGGAAACGCCGCUCCCGAGGCCCGAUGGUGGCGGAUCCGCUCUCCCGAGGCCCGCUGGCGCCAGAUCUGCUCUACCGCUACUCCCGUGCACCAUCUGUCAUUCUCAUCGUUAAGGUUGUCACCCCUUCCACCGCACCGCCCACUGCUGAGCACCGCUACAUCCCUUCACCACUGCCCGCCGAAUCGAGAGAGAGAUAUAAGUGAGGGAGGGGUAGGAUCUAGGGAGGCGAGAUCUCAUCUAGGUGAGAGAGAGGGGGAGGUAGCCGAGGAAAAGAAGAGGGAGGGAAAAAAAUGAUUUCCAUAGCUUGGUUGGUGAGUGCGUGCAUGCUAUUUUAUGCUCUCCCACGAUUUUUGCAAGCGGGCUCUUAAGACCCCGCUAGUAAAAGUCAAUUUUUUUAUUUUUACUAGCGAAAUCUUAAAAGCAUCGCUUGCAAAAAUAGAUGUAUUUUUGCAAGUGGUUUUCUUAAGGCACUUUUAUUAUUUUUAGAGUAUUGUCAUCUAGGUCCUCAAAUUCUCAAAAUACAGAUCCAGAUCUUAAAACUUGUUAAAGUGCAUCAUUUAGGUCUCAAAUUGACACAACCCCUUUAGCAUCCUACGUGGCGCUGAUGUGGCAUGACACAUGGAUGUGAUGUGUCCUUUUCUCUUUUUUCCUUCUUUUCUUUUUCUUUUUCUUCUCAUUCUUCUUUUUUUUUCCUUUCUUCUGCUCGGGUCACAGAGAAAGGAGAAGAGAGGAAAAAAAGAGAAGAAGGAGAAGAAAAAAAAAGAAAAGAAAAAUUUUUAAAUGGGUCUCAUUUGUCAAUCAAAAUGAUGCCAAGCCAUGUCCGUGUGGCAAGCCACAUCAGUGCCACAUAGGAUCUGAAGGGGUUGUGAUGAUUUGGGACCUAGAUACUAUGAUAAGUUCUGAGAUUUAGAUAUGAAUUUUGAGAGUUUAGAGACCUAAAUGAUACUCUCUAUAAGUUUAAGUUUAAGGAUCACCCGUGCACUUUACUCUUAUUUAUAUGAACAAGGUUUUUACGUCCGCCAGUAAAAAUAAAUUCAAAGUGUAGUAAAAAAUCGUUCUUUUUAUAGUGUGUUGGAUAUUUAUCCAUAUUACGCCCCCUCAACUAUAGGGUUCGAUCGUAGAGCACUCAUCAUUUCAUCAAGUAAGAAAAUAUGUAUUUUACACACCCUCCACUAUCAAAAGCGGUUAAAAUGUCACAUGAGGAUAAUAUAAUCUGGAUUUGAUAGUGAUUUGGAUUAUUUUAAUAUCUAAAUAUAUUGUUUUACUAACAUCUCUCUUGCUAGGUGCCUUACAAGGUGUUCAACAAACAGUCGAACACACAUUAGUUAGGCUGGGUAUACUCACCUAGCUUCUCUGCUAAUUCCUUAGUUAACCUUACUAUUGUCCUGUUGAUCAUCCAGCAUCUAGCAUCUACCCUUACUAUUUUGAUCAGGCAGAACAAAUCUCAUGUACUGAUUAGGUUAGGUUGUACUUAUCACUUCAUGGAUCGGAGAUAGUAUUAUUUUGACAGGCCUCUCACGAAAAGCAAUGAAUAAUUCCAAUCUUAGGUAAAUAAAAAAAGCAAAGGAAAAAAAGAACAACCUAGCUAGCGCUAUCGCCCAUUAUUUGCUAGCUAGGUUGAUAUGAUGUUGGUUCGUUUUGCUCCAAACAAAGCAUCAUUUUUUGGAGCUUGCCUACAACUUUUUUUUUAAACGACCCGGGCAAAACAGUGCGAAAUGUCAUAGCAGUAGAAUGGAAGAUCGUAGCUAGGAAACAAACAAAAACAAGCACACCACCACCGCAAGCUAGUAGCUCCUAGGUCCUAGCAUAUCCCAGGAGAAGAAACUAGCAUCAAGCCAACCCUUCCUAAGCGUGACCAGUCACCGCUAGACCUACAAAGGAAGUUGCAAACGCACCGCCGAACAACGACUCAUAGAAGAUCAUCGAUGGGCUUCGAAUCAUCCUCACGUACAAGGGUUGAGGAGAAAGAGAGGGCGAAAGAGAUGGAGAUUAACUCAUCCCUCACUUCAACCUGAUGAGGGCAACCUAGAACUGCUGAUGACCAAACUGAGAGAAGGCAGCAACGACGAGGAACGGAGACCUCCUAGGUAGGGGCGGAGCUAGAACAAAAUAGAGGGGGUGCCACUUGUUUAAUUUACUCUACUUUAUAUCGAGUUUAAUUUGAUACUGGUGCCUAAAUUUAUAUUGAGGGGGUGCACACAUGGUCAAAAUUGGUAAUGUUUAGUUACAAAAAAUUUUUCACCGGGUCCCUGGGAACCCCCAUGAUGACUCUAGCUCCACCCCUGCUCCUAGGCAAUGCCUCCAGGGAGGUCAUGACGUCUUAGAUGCCACCGUAGCCAAUCCAACUGGACUGAAUUUUCACUUGUAGAGUUCUGCCAAGGAGGGGAAGUGUGACUGCAAGACAACGCCCCAAGGAGGGUCAAGGCACCUGAAGCCGAUGUCAUUGCCGGCUCAGGAAACCUUGACCUAGACUUUCGCCUAUAGCACCCAUGCACUCCGGUACCCGUCAUCGCCACUCUAGAGCUCCAAACCCCAGACAAUCUCUACCAGCCGGUAGCUCUACUGCACUGGCACCCCUCCAAUGGCCAGCCCACACCUUCUAGCACAGCCAACGCCGUCACCCGAAGAAAGUAACACAGACUUGUCGUCGUCGUGCAGCUGGCCAUCUACAGCUGCCUCCCUUGUUGGUUGCCAAUCCCACCGUUGGUCACCUGUCAACCCCCACGUUGACCACCCCAACCUCACUGCGUCGCCCCGCACCGGACGCUCAUGUCAGUCUCCCGCUGCCGCAGGCCAUGGCAGCCUUCUUGCUGGCGCCCGCGACAGCCUCCCCACGUCACCAGCCAUGGCCACCUCCUUGCCAUCGCCGUGAAGGCCUCCCCUGCCCAAAGCUACUAGACGCGAGGGCCUCCCGCCACUCCUGGCCAAAUACGCCCGGGAGAGGGGGGUGCAUAGAUCUAGUCGCUGCACCACCACCGUCACGUCACACCGUCCUCGCUUUGUGCACUGCCAUGCAGACUCCCCUAGACGCAUGAGGGAUGGGGUUGGCCCCGCUGCCGCUAUCCCAGCUCGCUACUCGUUUUCCAAUGGAGUGUUCUGAUGGCGGCGAGGCGGAAGAGAGGAAUGAAGGGGGUGGCGGAGACGGUGGCUAAGGUUUGCCCCCAGUCACCUGUGUGUGGUCGACACGGGGAGGAGGGUUUCGCCUAUAACUUUCAAGUAUUAUACUUCUUAUGAAAAGUUGCCUCUUUGAAACAUGAGACUUGCUGGAACUUUAUUCUGAGUUUUUACUAGAUCGUAUUGAUAUUUGAUUCGGGUGAAGCUUUGCUUCUUUGCUCUGUCCUUCUUUCCUAACUGAACAGAGGAGUUUUGAACGAAUUUGAUGGAAGCUUAAUUAAUAAUUUAUGUAAAAUUCCUGCGUUAGUGUCACUCCGACCCAUAUAUAUAUCUAUAAUUCAAUUUUAUUUUAUACAUAAAAAUGAGGGCGCAAACAGAAAGGCCCGCGAACCCAUUUAUAAUACAAAUAAACACGUAACCCACUGAAUUACCCCGCUUAUUUGUAUUACUAAAAAAUAAUGCCCGUGUGUUGCAAUGGAUAAAUGCUAUUUUAAUCUUAGAUAGGAUGAAAUUCACUGUGGAAUUCGCUUGGAUUUUUUUUUUUUUUGAAAAUCAUGAGCUGCAAUUAGAAGUCCAACUUUCAUCUCAAGUUCGCAUGCAAGUUUUUUUUAAAAAGAAAUUUCUUAUACUACUUAUUUUGUAUUUCCAAAAGCAAACGGACUUAAAAUCCGUCUCAAACACGGAUCUGUAUUUCCAAAAGAGAACGAACUUAAAAACUGACUCAAAUACAGAUGACGUACUAAAAUAACGAUAAAACAUCUUCAAUUUUUAUAAUAGUAAAGACAGAGAUAGAGAUAAAUGGAUUUGUGUGUCUGCCCGCUUACACUCUUCCAUAAAUAUAACCUGAUAAGGAAGUACAUGGCAAGCUUGCACAAAAUUAACUUGGGGUUCCUCUUGGUGAAACAAUCCAAGGACCUGGCAUUCAAACGGAAUUACGGAAAUGAGCGAGGCUUUCAACAUGGGCCGAAAGUGCAAUACUAUUUGCAGUUUGGGCUUUGGGCUAAUAAAAAAGGAUAGUAUAUUUUACCUUCCUCAUCUCUUGUCCUUGGUCAAAUCGCAUCCUUUAACCACAAAAUCGGGUAUAACGCCACCUCCAUUUCCGAAAUCCGGUGCAAAUCGACUCCUCAGAUGGUUCUGUAAGCAGUUUUAUCCUGCGUGACGCUUAGGUGGCAUUUAGAUAGAAAAAAAAUGACAGGAGCCCCGCAUGUAGUCUCACUUUCUCCACAUCUGCCCUUCUCUCUCUCUCUCAUCUCCCUUUCUUAUCUGGGGUCCAGGAACAGACUGACGGCUGUCGGCCGGCGAUACCCGCGAAGAGGAGGAGAGGGAGAGGUCAGCGGCGGCGGCGGCUAAUCCACCUUCCUGCGCCCCCACACCUCGGCCUUCGCCUCCUAUCUGCGGUGGUGGAGCUCGGCCUCCGCCUCAAGCAGCUAGCCGACGCCGCAGUGGCAGUUGGCCAUGGUGCGGCGCAUGAAGGCGCACUCGUUGAUGAGCUUGGAGUAGAGCUGGUGGCCGGUAGACGGUCCUGAGCCGGUCGAGCUUGCGCUGGUCCUCGGAGGUGAAGAGCGCCACUAUUAUUAGCUAAUAAACUUGUGCAUGUUUAGUUUAUCUCCUUCCGCUGUUUUUUCGUUGCUUUCUAUUUUUCAGUUAGGGUGCACAGCUGCGUUUGUGUAGUUGUGCAAGUUGAGCUUUGAUGUGCGUAGAAUCAAACACUUGUGCCCCUAUUUGUUCGAUCUCUCUCGCAUACAAACUCUUGCAGGUUUUUGCUAAAGCUGCCGGGUUUUCACUGAUAGCCACGAUUCAGGCGAGGAAGCCCCGGUCGACAUGGUUCCGGCUCGGAGCAUCCCGGCGUCCGCGGUGACGACCGCAGCGGUGAGGACGUCGUACACAAACCGGAGGUGUAGCCACGACGGGAGCAGUACCAUCACGGGCACAUCAGAAGGCAUGGCCGACACAGGACUGCCUCGAGGAGGAGCAUGGCAGAGCCCAAUGCUAGAGCAAAACCGGAUAGGAAUCGGAGGCUGAGCUCCAUCGCCGCGGAUAGGAGGCAGAGGCGUGGGGGCGCGGGAAGGCGGAUCCGCUGCCACCGACCUCUCCCUCUCGUCUUCGCGGGCAUCGGUCUGUUCCUGGACCUUGGAGAAGAGGGAGACCCCAGAGAGAGAAAAGGAUAGAGGUGGAGAAAGUGAGACUGACAUGUGGGGCCCACUGUCAUUUUUAAUUUUUUUUCAAUCUGGAAUGCCACCUAAUAAGUAUCAUGUAGAAUAAAACUGCUUACAAAAACCACCCGAUGAUUUGAUUUGCACCGGUUUUCGAAGAUGAGGGAGGCGUUAAACUGGGUUUUGUGGUUGAGGGAUGCGAUUCCACCUAGGGCAAGGCAUGAGGGACACAAAAUAGACUUAUCCCAAUUUUAACGUGCUCUUACAGACUCUGGGCAUUUGCAGGUCCAUCUCUCUAAGCAGGCCGCAUAUGUGCACUGCGCGUACAAAUUAACGUAUGGGCCAUAGCGCGAUACCUCUCAGUCUCAGGCAUAUGCCGAUCAAAUCGGUAAACUUUUUUAAACUGUACUUGGUAUAAUUACUGAUAAGUAAUAACACAAAAUUACCUCGAUUUAGGAAAUGGAAAUGUCAUUGGGCGAUCAUCAUGAGAAGCGCUUCCAUGUAACGAGAAAAGGCUACUGAUUGAUCAAGUCGCGAGAAUAAAGACAAGGCGUGUUAAAUUGUUGCCACGUACGUGUAAUAGAAAAAAAAAAAACGCUUACAUGUAGCAUGCAGGAUGAUCAGGGACUUAAUUAUCGUCGAGUGGUAGCGGGGUCGAUCUAACCCUGCUGCCAGCCAGUGAUUAAUCAGGACUUGUACCACUCGAAUCUUGGGGCUGCAGGUUAGAGGUCAAUUUGGAAUACUGAAUUGAUACAUCUCAUCGGAGAAAGAGGUGUUGCCAUACCCUCGACGGUAAGACCAGUAACUAUAUGGUUAUUAUUGUGAUGAAUAGUGAAGAAACCGAACAAAAUUUAUCCAAAAGAAAAUAUCCAAAAUUUAUAUUUUCUUUCUUAACUCCGUAGGAUUACCGGCCACUACUUUACUAUUACCACACCUCGGCGGCGGUGAAAACCCCGGUUACCGCAGCGGCGGUAAAGGGAAAAACGUGGCUCCAUUAGCAGCAUCUUUGACACCGUGCAAUUAAAUAGCAAGCUGCUUAUUCCAUCCGAAAUUCCAAAGACGCGUGACGCGGUCCACGUACGCGCGCGAGGAGCGAAACAGCGGAGGAGGUGGAGGAGACAUGGCGCCGGCUUGGGGUUGGGGUUGGGGGCCCAGGGAAGCGCUUGUCGUGGCCCUGCCGGCCGCGCCCUCCCCUCGACCCUGGACCAUACCCGUCGUCUCCGGAUCCGAGGCUUUUCGCUUCGGCUUCAGGCCCAUCGAUCCAUCAUCUUCUCUGCCAACGCAAAUUCAGGUGUACGGGCUGAUUUGGUUUGAGACCUAAAUUUAACUUAUCAAUAUUUGAUAAAUUUAAUAGUGUUUAGUGUCUAUUUGGUUUGAAGCUAAAUUUUGGUAUGUCUGAGAAAAUAGGCCAUUUCUAUAGUUGACUUAGGCUAUUUUGACUUUAAUCCAAAUACAACUUUGCCUUCCUAAAAUUUAUCAUGCCAAAACUUGUUAAAAUUUAAUUUUGCCAAAAAUUAGUAAGGCCAAUUUAGGUCACAAACCAAACUGUCACUACACAUUCUAGUACUGUAGACACUGCCACUGGUCUUACCGUGCUGUGCUGUCUCCUUGAGACUCAUCUGGGGGUUUUGACGUUGCGUGUGCACUGUGCAGUGCCGACCUCUUCACGACAACCUACGGUAGGUAACAACCAUGGAUCGAUGCAUGUGAUCCUGCGUGCAAAUAUACUCUCUUUGACCCUUUUUGAAUCGCAUGAAUAUAAAAACUAAGGAAUAGUAAAAACACACGAUUUUAAUAGAAAUGCAAUUGCAAAACGCAUGGAUUUGAUGAGUGAGAUACUCAAAAAAAAAAUUUUAAGAGGUAUGAGCUCUUGCUAAAUUUUCUUCAAAAUCUCUAUAGGAUUGUCAUUUUCAUAGAAAUUUUAGAAGAUAGUAUAUGAUUCGAUCCUUUAUUUUAAAGGCUUUCGUAGAAAAUUUUCUUAUAGGAUUAAAAUCCUUAAAAGUUUAUAUAUUUUUCCUCCAAAUCAAAGUAGCACUUAGCUUCUUAUAUGAAAAAUAUAUGAACUUUUAUAUAGGGAAUUUUCUUAUAUGUGUAUGAUGAUGGAUAUGAGGUGUUUUAUUGGAUUCCCCAAAUCCCCCGUUCACGUGUUGAGGGAUUUAAAUCAUUUGAUUCUGCUGGCCGUGUCUAGAUGCUACUACAACUACAAGUGCUCGUCACGCCAUGUCAGGUCAUAUGCGUGAUAUUCCGCCAGUAUCUGCAACCGAGUACUCCUAUAUCCGGAUAAUCAAUCAACGGAUAAUCUGUCCCUCGCCAAACGGCAGCAGCAGUCAGUCACCUUUCGCUUUACCACCCAACCCAGGUAAGGCAGUGUUUUAAUUUCCUUAUAACUUCCAAAAAUUCUAUCAUAUCAAAUAUUUAAACACAUACAUAGAGUAUUAAAUAUAAAAAAAACUAAUUACACAGUUUGUAUAUAAAUUACGAGACGAAUCUUUUGAGCCUAAUUACGCCAUGAUUUAACAAUAUGAUACUAGGUAAACAUUUGCUAAUGACAUAUUGAUUAGGCUUAAUAAAUUCGUCUCGCAGUUUACAUGCGGAAUCUGUAAUUUGUUUUGUUAUUAGUUUACGUUUAAUACUUUAAAUGUGUGUCCGUAUACUUAAAAAUAUUUUAGCACACGAACUAAACACGGUCUAAGUAAGAAAAUACAUCAUCAAGCGACGAUGUACUUUCUUUUAGAUAAUGGAAUGAAAUAUUCUGGUCUUUGCUGAAGAGCUACAGCCAAUUAUUAUGGUUCAAGCGAUGAUGUUCUAACAGUAGUCAUUGGAUACAACUGCAGCCUCUUCAUAAUAAUGAAGAAAUAAGCGAGGACAUGGACGCUGGUAGGAGCUAAGCGACUACAUGAUCUUUUACCUCGUACUGUAUAAUCUGGUUUUUUUCCCUCCUUACUUUUAAGGGUUAUAUUAUUUUUUUUACUAUAUUCGAUGAAAAUAUAUAAUCUCGUGCUAAUUCGAUUAAAAAAAAGAUACUACUGCAGAAUUGCUUCACAUGAAAAUGACAAAGUGCAUGAUUUUACAUCAAUUGAGCCUGAUUUGAUCGCCAAGCUGACACCCGUAUCAUCAUGACUCCAUACUUGUAUUACUCUACAAUAUUUUGAGUCCUUACCGGUGGUGUUUGGAUCAGGGACUUAACUUUAGUCUCUGUAUUUAGAUACUAAUUUAGAGUAUUAAAUAUAGACUACUUACAACACUAAUUACAUAAAUGAAACCUAAUUUGCGAGACAAUUUUUUAAGCCUAAUUAAUCCAUAAUUAGAGAAUGUUUACUGUAGCAUCACAUAGGCUAAUCAUGUAUUAAUUAGGCUCAAUUGAUUCGUCUCGCGAAUUAGUCCAAGAUUAUGGAUGGGUUUCAUUAAUAGUCUACGUUUAAUAUUUAUAAUUAGUGUCCAAACAUCCGAUGUGAUAGGGACUUAAAAGUUUUAGUCCCAUCUAAACAGGGUAUUAGACUACAAUAUUACCGUUGUAAUAAAAAAUAUUUUAUAUUUAUUAUCUUCGAUAUUGUUUAUAAAGAACUCCCUCCACCCCAAAAUACAAGAGAUUUUGGAUAGAUGUGACAUAUCCUAGUGCAGUGAAUCUGGAUAAACCCUUUGUCCAGAUUUUGUACUAUAAUAUAUGUCACAUCCAGCUAAAAUCUUUUAUAUUUUGGAAUGGAGAGAGUAACUAUCAAAGUUCAUCUAUUUCCGACCAAAACAAACAAAUAUUCGCAAACAGAUCAUAGAGACAUAGAGUAUAUUUUUAGUUCCUACUUUAUAUUGCAGCAGACAACAAGCAAGCAUAUAUUGGUGCCCUGUACGGAAUGAGUAACGUACAGUAACAAGUUUUGUUUUGAGAAGUAUUAUUGCUAAACUAAAAACUUAUAAAGGGUAAGGCCCCAUUGGACUUAGACGAAGGUGAAGAUCUUUAAACGUACUUAAAAGUUAAUAAAAUGAGACAAGCUGUUAACACAUGAUUAAUUAAUUAUUAUAAACUUAAAAAUAGAUUAUUUGAUAUUUUAGAGUAACUUCUAUAUAAAAAUUUUUCAUAUAAAAUAUAUUGUUAAAUAGUUAGAAAAUAUGUUAACAUAAACUAAAGUAGAAUCUACAUAUCUUAUUAAAGUAUAACGGGUUUAAAGGCAGCGACGGCCAAAACAAUGGCAUGUUUUUUUUCCCUGUCCAAGAUUCAUACGCUUGGCGAAAGGCAGUAGAUAGAUUGCCAUCAUAAGCUUGCAAUCAAUACAGUACUUUGUCCAUUUUAAAAUAUUUAAAAUACGUGUAACCCUUUAGUUUAAAUUUAUAAAAGAGAAUUAUAUUUAGAGCAAAUUGCGUUUAGGGCCACCUUUUAUUACCAAUGUUUUACUUUGGAUCACCAUUUAACAUAUUUUUUCACUUUAGACUAGGUUACUUUACCUUUCUUUCACUUUGGACCACCCCAUAAACUUUUUAGGAAUACAUAAAUGACUUUUCCAACUUUAAGCACAUCAGCAACUCGUAACCCGGUAAUCUUUUUCAACUUACACAUGCAAUUUUUUUUACUAUAUUAUAGAGCAGAUACAGCUAAAGAAAAUGACUUGGGGUGGUCCAAAGUGUACCAAAAGUAAUCUUAUCUAGUCUAAAGUGAAAAUAUGAGCUAGAGGAUAGUCCAAAGUGAAACUUUGGUAACAAAAGGUGGACCAAAGUGUAAUUAACUCUUAUAUUUAUUUUAGAACUAAGAAAGUUGUACUCCCUCCGUAUUUUAAUGUAUGACGUCGUUGACUUUUUAACCAAUAUUUGACCAUUCAUUUUAUUCAAAAUUUUUAUGUAAAUAUGAAAAUAUUUAUGUCAUGCUUAAAGAAUAUUUGAUGAUGAAUCAAGUCACAAUAAAAUGAAUGAUAAUUACAUAAUUUUUUUAAAUAAGACGAAUGGUCAAAUAUUAGAUAAAAAGUCAACGGCGUUAGUCCAUUAAAAUAAUACGAAGGUAGUAUUAGUUAGCUCCUCCAGCGCGUAAAGAGGAACAAAAGACAAGGCUCUACCCCGGCGACUCGAUCAUCGAAGGGGAAAUUUUUAUCCGAUCCGGCCGGCGCGUCGUCGUCGUCGAAGCCGAUAAAGCUGUGUGUGAUGAUGCAUGAUGGUGUGCUAUGUUUGGAUGCCCACAUGCUGACAUGCAUCUAUACUAGUACUGAAAUGUCUGUGACGUCGUCCCAGACGGUAUUGGUAGGUAUCCAAAGCUAGGCUUGAAGAUGCAGUGAAAUCUCACUCCGUCAGAGAUGCAGUUUUCUUCUCCGCACAGUGUAUCUGUUUGCAGCUGCAUCGAUCGGUAUCGUCCUGUUUACACAAUUGCACCCCGAUUGUGGGCCCCAGCAAUGGUAUUCAUCUUCUUCUUGUAUUAAUUGUGCAGCCACAUAUUGCCCUGUCUGGUCAACAUGCUUGUGGGCUUGUGGCAUGCACCAAGCAGAUUGGGUGGUGGCGCUGCCAGUGCCAAGGCUCUCAAUGUCGGAUCCAUCAGACGAUCACUAAUGCGGUGCUUCAGCCCGUACCUCUAGAGACAGCCGUCCGCUUUUCCAUCGGCGUCGUCCAUCUACGAUGGAAUGCGGCCCUCUGCUAGGGGACGUGGCUCUCUUCGCGCCUCGCCAGCUUUUCGUGGGGAGAUACAGCCAGGCGCCGCGUUGUACGCGUGUGGAGCUCGUGGGCACGGCGUCGUCCCCCCAAAUUUCCCCUUGCACCCUCGCCUCACUCUCGCUCUCCCCUCAGUCUCGUCGCGCCGCGCCCGACACCGCCGGCACCGUGCCCACCACCGCCGGGACCGCCACCGUCGACGUAUUGUUGAUGGCCUUAGAGAGAGAGAGAAGAUAGAGGCGACGGCGACGACCGGAUCCGACCACCGCGCGCCGCGGCAGCCAUCAGGGCGGAGACGGCUUGAGGUGCCCGUGCUCGCCUCGCGCGCCUUGCUUGGCCUCCUCCGCCGGCGCCUUGCCCGCCACCGUCGGCGCCACGGGGGGGGGGGGCAAUUCCGCCCACUAUGGCGCCGGAUCUGGCGCACCCAACCGGCCACGGCGCAAGGCGGAGGACGCCGAUGGGAGAAAGGGAGAGAGAGGGGUGGCAGUGGAUGCUGGCAACGGGAGAGGCGGCCCUCCUCGUCGUCCUCGCCGCCACUCCCGCCGCUCCCGUGACGCCUCGUGACGCCGCUCCCCGGGUCCGACGAGGCCGCCACGGCCAAGGACCGCGCCAUCGCUGAGCACGCCUCGCGUCUCCGGCGAGCGGCGGCGUGCUGGAUCUAGCGUGGUGCAGCGUGGGAUCGGCGGGGGGUGUGGGAUCUGGCGACGGCGAGCGGCAAGAGGGAGAGGAGAGAGAGGCGAGAGGCGGAGGGGAGGAGGCGCGCCAGUAAAUGAGGAGAAGAGAGGGGUAGUAUAGUAAAAUACCUACGUGUGCUUUUUGGGCUUGGGGCACUCAUUAGGCUAACAGGGGUAUCCUCCAUUGUGAGUGGGUUUAGAGUAUCCCUGAUUGUAGAUGCCUUCAAAAUAAAAACAGGUGCAGCUAAAUAAAUUAGAUAAAACUUUAAUCCUCUUUUUAAUAGAUAUAUGGUAAAAAAAUUUAGAUGGGCUUUCCUAGUCCCAAGGACGAUAGUGGAGCUCGUGCUCUCACCCGCUGACAGCUCUUAUUGUCAACACUUCAUUUGAUAAAAAAUAGUAGCAAUCGUUUGUCUCUCUACACAAAACAGAGUGAGUGAUAAAUUAGAGUAUGAUUAAUUAAGUAUUAACUAAAAUAUUAAUAUGAUUUUAAAGCAACAUUCCGAUAGAAUUUUUUUAAAAAAUAUAUUGUCAAACAAUUUAGAAACUGUGUGCAUGGAAAAUGAGGAGCAUAAGUUGUAAAAAAAAUAUGCCAUUUAAUAAUUUAGAAAGUGUGCAUGGAAAAGAUAAGAAAGCAGAAGUUAGGAAAAGAGAGAAAAGAACACACCACGAAGAAGUUGUUCAACGUCCUGCUCCUACAGGUACAACCAGCUUGAUCAUUAGGCCAUUCACAAUGCACACAUCUGACAUUCAGCCCCAGCCUUCCACUUUGAAGAUUCCCAGCGACGUUGAUCUCUUCCGUGCCCAAGUGAGGAACGCGGAGUCAAAGUUGGUCGCGCGUUCCUCAUCAGUAUGUGUUAGCGAUUCUUUGGGGAAAGAGAGAACAUAGUGGCUGGGGCGGAGAAAGAGGGAACGAGGCGAGGGGGCGGCCCUACCCGGGAGCUAUCAUCACCAUCGUCUUCGAGCUGCCACCGCUGUGCCGGAUCUGGAGAGCUUCGUGGAGGGAGAAGCGGCCGCCACCACGAGCCGUCGAGCUGUGCUCGAGCGGCGUCCGAGAGUUGAGAGGCUCCAGCGGGAAGGGGGAGCAGCUGAGAGGAGAGAGAGCUGUCGUGGCGGACAGGGAAGGGGAGCUACCCCGGGCUGGAUCCGGCCUCCAUGCCACCACUCCGCCCGGUGUUGUCGCUGCUUCAGCCGCUUCUCCGCCCAGUGCCAUCGCAUAGAAGGACGCGCCGACAUUCCAGAUCUGCACCGAGCUCCUUGCCAUCCACGCACGCACGCGGUGUCGAGCUCGUCGCCACCUCGAUCCGCCGACGUGGGUGGUAGGGAGAGUGGUGGAGGGGGGAGGGGUGGCGGCGGUGGGUGGGAGGGAGAGAGGGGUGCCAACGGCGGGGUAGCCGAAGGAGGAGGCCGGUGGUUGGCGAGGAAAGGCAAAGGGAAGAAAGAGAGGAGAAAGAGAACAGGUGGGAUCCACUAUAAUGUACUGUGAAGAAUAAAAUAGACCAUAUGCACUGUGGAGGAUGUUUCUUACAAUGUUCCUAGCCUAGUUGGCGGUUUUGGCUUCUCAAAUAAGGCAGCCGCACUGGUAUUGCUAGAGUUUAGGGGUGUGUUUGGAUGGAGGGAUAUGGGUGGAUAGAACAUGGCGGUCCAUUUUCUGUGGGUGUUUGGUUGCUGGGCAUGGGUGGGAUGGGCGACCCAGGAAGGAAUAUUCCUCCAGAUGCUGGAUGGGGGGAUCCGGCCGAUUUGCCAGGAUCCAGCCGCCCGAGCGCCUGGGCAAGCUGGGCGAGCGGGUCGCGUCACCCCGGGCGAGUGAGGGAGGGAGGCGGUCGCGAGCGAGCUAAGGGAGGCGGUCGCCUGGGCCCGACGACGACGGUGCGGGCGGCGUCGGCGGGAGGAGGCGGCGGCGCCUAUAGCCGGCGGGAGGAGGCGGGAGGCGGGAGGAGGCGGCCGCCGACGGGAGGAGGCGAGCAGCGGCCGCCGGCGGGAGGAGGCGGCGGCGCAGUGAGCCCUAGAUCUAUUGCUUUUUUCUUUUUUUCUUUUUUUAUAUGUGUAUUUAUAAUAUGGAGAGGUAGUGGUGUAAAAUUGCUACAGAAUUUAUAAAAUGCAUUAUGCAUUAAUUUGAUGGGGUAUAUUCACCAUCUCAAGUGAGAGGUGACCACACCUACAAAUCCAACUCACUCCAGCCAAACAAAAAAUUGGAUCACCAAAUCCAUCUUCAAACAAAACAAAAAACUGGAUCGCCAUAUUCAUUCUACCAAACAAAAAACUGGAUCGCCAUAUCCAACAAAGUAUGGACCGCCAUAUCCCAUCCAUCUUGACUGUGAACCAAACACAACCUAGGCUGAUCCGAGCUGAGCUCGAAGUGUGCUGAUCUAGUGGUCUGUCACGAGUUUUGAGCUUUUUUUUUUUCAACCCUUAUCUCUCUCGAUGCUUCAAGGUAGUAAGCAGAUUCACCGUUGGCAAUUUGGCAACCAUAUGUGGUGAGUGGUACUCCCUCUGCUAUUUCAUGUUAGUCGUCGUUUGAUUUUUUUUUGCCUAAGUUCAUUGAAAAAAAUUAUUAACAUCUAAAAUAUUAAAUUAGUUUUUAUUAAAUAUUGAAUAUAUUUUGAUAAUAUGUUUAUUUUGUGUUGAUAAUAUUUAUAUAUUUUUCUAUAAACUUGGUCAAACGUAAAGAAAUUUGACUAAAAAGUUAGACGAGGUAUAAUAUAAAACGGGAGGAAUAUCGUUUUUGCAUGGUAAUUGCAUAACUAAAUAUGAUCCAUACAUGACAAAAAUGCCUCGGACCACUCCAACCUUGCACGGCCAUCCUGCAGAAGGUUCGAAAUUUGAACCACAACCAAUGCUGACCAAACUCCACAUACAUCCAAAAACAGUGUACCAUCAGUCGCCCAAUCACCACCAAAUGCUGACAAAUAGACAAAAAUUGGCAGCAGAUUCCGAGGGAAAUACUCGAAGUUUAGAGCCAAAGCAGUUUAAAAGUUUGUGUGAUGCUUCGUGGAGGAAAAAAAAUAGGAAAUAGCUGGCAAUAUGCACAGCAUAUGUGCAUAUUGCGCGCGUUGCUGCGUUCUGGAGUACUUCUGUACUGUUUGCAGCGGUGGGGAAAAAAUUUGAAUUAUCAAGGACAUGUCUCCACACAUUUUCAAGUACCGUACGAAUAAUUAUAAGUUACUAAAAGUAUGCCUAUGUGUUACUGUAUCGUAAAAACUUUAAAUGAGAACAUGAUUAUACAUCAAGAGGAAAAAAAAAGAAGAAGAAAACCGGACAAGAGAGGCAUGAUGAUCUAAUAGUAGGCGUAUCAUUCACCUAGCAGGUUUAAUGUCCUCAAUUAUGCAUAUAUGGAUAUACUUUUCAUAGUAAUUUAAUGAUAUAUGAGAUUCACAACCCACCCCAACCGAGCGUGUAAAUAAGAUUAAGAUGACACAUUCACAACCGAGCGUGUAAAUAAGAUGACACAUUCACAAAUAUAUACCCCUUUAAAUGUUUCUAGGGGUGGCGAUGGGUCUGCUGCCCCUACCCCACCACCAUUGUCUAUCAUGUGGGACUAUGAAUGAAAACGGAGCGGAUAGUUUCCGUCCGCUCCGGAGAAAAACGAAUACAUAUACCUUUCGGAACGGAUAAUUUUCAGAUAAUUCGGAUACUAAUACAAAUAUGGAUAUUUUCUCCCGGAUACGAAUACGAAUAUGGUAUUAGGGUUUCCGUCGGAUACGGAUAAUAAUUCGGAUAUCCGGUGAAGUCAUGAGACAUACCCCAUCUCUUUAUAGAGUAACUCUAUGACCUUCAAUAUAUCUUUUUAGAUUUUAAUAGUUAUUCAUCUCUUAACAUUAGUCCACACUAUUAACACUAUUUAAUUUUUUAAAGAUAUUUAUAAAUUAUACUACAUUUUAUAUAAAAUGAGCUAAUUAUAUAUGUUGAUAUUUGUUUCUAUUAGAAAUUGAGUUGGUUUUUGUGUUCCGAGAAAAAAUUGUUUUUGUAUUUGUGUCUGAUCAUAUUCGAUUUUUAUUCGUAUUUGAGAUAAUACGUAUUUGUUUCCCAGCAAAAUAAUACGAAAAUAAAUAUGAUAUGAGCAUUAUCCAUCCCUAUCCACUCUGUUUCAUCCCUAUGUGGGACCUAAGGUCGGAGCCACCAACUCCAAGCAUUAUAGUUCUUCGAUAUCCAUCGUUCAAUGCAAUCCAACCUACAACUUAAUAAAAGAGGGACAACAUGUCUAGAGAUUAAUCAGUUGUGCAAAGAUCGAUGAGACAAAUGAUCUAAGCAUAUGUGCUUAGGGAUUGGGAUUGUACAUUUAGAUUUCAGUAAAAACAGUUUAUUUAUUUUACAUCAGUAAAAUCUUAUUUUAUGGACUCAUUGGUACAUUUCUUGUAUAUGGUUGUUUCUAUUAAGGCGACUAUUUAGUAGUUCCAUCUUUUAUAUGACUUGUAUAUUCCGACCAAUUUUUACCAUUAUCAUAAUAAUAAGUAUAAAUUUGGAAAAGAUAUAUUAAAUGCGGACAGUCAAAGAAUAUGGAAAGAAAUAAGUUACCUAUUCUUGGAUUAUAACAAAGCAAUUUUUGGAUUUUAAAGUUUGAUUUUUAAGAAUACUUUUAGUUGGGGCUUUUACUUAUUGUUUUGCAAUUAUUUAAAGAGAGUUAGUCAAGGAAAAUGAAGAGAACACCUAAAAACAAGCCUAAUAUUAAAUUUAAUAAAACUAGCUUCAUAUUGUAAUCAUGAUUUUAACUAAUGAUUGGUAAUCAUAUUUUAGGUGUGUGCUGAGUUAACCACUCGGGGCUGUUUUGGAAAAAAGGAAUUUUGAAGGGUUGGAUUCUCCUAUAUGGUCAUUUGGAAGUUGGAACAAAGGAAUAUCUUCCCCAAAUUUCUUUAAAGUUCCUUAGGAUUGUCUCGAAUCAAAGGAAUUUUAGAGGAUUCUCAACAAGAGGUUCUACCUCUUGGAAAAAAAAUAUUCUGUGUGUCCAUCUCUCUCCUCUAAUGACUCAUUUAUAACGUAGAAUAGAAAAAACGUAGGAAUAGAAAAAAUAUACAGGAAUUGAAUGUCAUGUCUAGCCAGAUUCUACGUGUUUUAAUAGUCCAUAGAAAAACCCCAAGAAUUGUGGAUAAAAUACCUCAUUAUAAUGAAUACAAGAUGAGAGAUAAAGAGAUAUGUUGCCUUUGGACUUUAGAAAGGAAUAUAAACUAUGAGCUUUAAUGAAAUGUUUAGAAUCCUCUAAAAAACGAAGAAAAGGAAGCAAUCCUAUAGAAAUUUUGGAACCCAUUCCUAUAAUCCAAAGAUCUUAUAUGAAAAUUUUCUAUAGAGCAAUCCUUUGAAAUUCUUUCAAAUUCAUUUAUUCCAAAGUAGGUCUAAUUCCUAUGUUUUCCAUGCGCUUCGUCCAAAUUUCCACGUGUUUUUUCAUCUAGAGGAUUUGAGAUUAUAAGUUACUCUAACCCUAUGUUUUUUCUCUAGUAAUUGAGAUGAUAGUAUAAAUAGAUAGUAUGAUUUAUUGAGGAAGAAAAUAUAAAUGAUAUAUAUUAACUCUACUGUUAAGUAGAGUAAACAUAACCGAAAAAGCAAAGGUAAAGGAUUCGAGCUAUGAACAAAGACAAAUCUUAAUGAGAACAAAUACAUGUGCCACCCACAGCCAAGAUUUACCUGUUUUCAGCAUAUAGGCUGAGUAGGUUGUAUGGGAGUUGGAAACUUAUCUUUAAUGCACGUAAACGGAAUGACUCAUUAGCGAAUAAUUAAUUAAAUAUUAGCAUUUUUAAUAAAAAAAAUUAAUAUGAUUUUUUAAAGCAAUUUAUUAUAUACUUUUUAAAAAAACGUGCAUGCGAAAAUUGAAUGAUUUAAGUUAGGAAUUUUAAAAAAAGAACUCAGGUAUACUCUCUCCGUCCAAAAAAAAAUCCAAUCUAGUAUUGGAUAGGACGUUUUAUAGUACAAUGAAUCUAAACAGAAGUAUAUAUACGUUGUAAUAGAAAUGUCUAAUCCAAUAAUAGGUUGAGUUUUUUUUGGGCGGAGGGAGUAUAGAAUAAAAGAAAAACGCAAAAUCUAUUUCGAGAGGCAUCUCGAUUUAGACUUAACGAGCGACGCGGACAAUUACGUGAGAAGUACUGCAAGCGUUACAGACAUGCAUGCAAGUAGUUUUUGCUAUUAUGUUGUGCAUAUUUUUUUUCUUCUUAUAAAAUUUUCUCUUAAAUUACUUAUCCGAUCUAUAAUCCGAUUACACCAUUGUGUUCGUAACAAUUAAAUCUUUACAACAAGAUUUCACAUGAUUAUAUUUUGAUGAAAAAUCACAACUUUUAUGAUAUGUCUAUAUUACUUUUAGAUUUCACUAAGUUACUUCUUAUACAUACAAAAGUAAAUUCAGUAAAGCCUAGAAGUAAUUUACAUAUAUAUAUAUAUUAUAGAAGUAACUUAGAACAAAACGAAUGUAACUUUGGCAUAUCAUUUGAAGUAAAUCCGUUGUAGAGAUAAAAACAUGACUCUAUCUAGAAAUUAGAUUAAUCAGCACAAAUUAUGAAAUUAACUAAAAACAAUAAUUAAAGUAAUCACCUCAGAGCAUUAUGAAUGUAUAGGAAGUAUUUUAAUUAAAUCUAAAAGUAACUUAUAUAUAUGAUAAUUAAAUAUAUGAUAAUUUGUUCAAUGAAAAAAGGUAUUAAUUAAAGUUACUUUCUUUUUUUUUUAUAAGUUACUUUUAUAAUAUAUGUAAAUUACUUUUAAGCUUGACUGAAUUUACUUUUGUAUGUAUAAGAAGUAACUUAGUGAAAUCUAAAAGUAAUUUAGACAUAUCAUAAAAGUAAUUUGUAAUUUUUCAUCAAAAUAUAAUCAUGUGAGAUCUUGUUGUAAAGAUUUAAUUGUUAUGAACACAAUGGUAUAAUCGGAUCGUAAAUUGGAUGAGUAGUUUAAGAAAAAAUUAUAUUUAAAGUAUAGGUGGACGGUGUUUCUUAGCAGUAGCUGUGUAGUCACGUCCAAAGAAAAAACAGAUAGAGGCCGAGGUCGGCCCAACGGGCCUGACGAACACAGGCGCACAGCGGACAAAUCCUCUAAUAAUUAACCCGUCACACUUUUUCCCCCCUUCUCUCAUAAAAACCCCCACCCCCCAACAGCGAGCGAGCGAGCAAGCGCGCCCCCGCCACGCCUCCAUCAUAACGCCACCGCCACGCUCGCCACGCCUCCCAUCCGCUCCACUCCAUUUCAAAUUCUCGCCACCUCCCCCCCGCAUUUCGACGAACACCUUCGCCGCCCACCCCCCGCAUGUCUCCGACCGCCACCCCAUCCCCCGCGCCCGCCGCGGUGGCGGCAGCGCCCAAGCCGCCGCCGUCGGGGACGGGGGCGAAGCGCAGCCUGAUGUCGUCGCUGAUGGAGGCCACCGCGCUGCUCAGGUCGUCGUCGUUCAAGGAGGACUCGUACGUGGCGUCCGCGCUCCCGGCGUCCGACCUCCGCGCGCUCGCCGACCUCAGGGCGCUGCUGUCCACGCACCCGGACCCAAUCUCCAUCUGGGGCGUGCCGCUCAACCCGGCGCCGCCCCAGGGCGGGGAGGGGGCCCCGGCCCCGGCCGCCGCCGCCGACGAGCGCGCCGACGUCGUGCUGCUCAAGUUCCUCCGCGCGCGGGACUUCCGCGUCCGCGACGCGCACGCCAUGCUGCUCCGCUGCGCCGCGUGGCGGGCCGAGUUCCGCGCCGACGCCGUGCUGGACGAGGACCUCGGGUUCAAGGACCUGGAGGGGGUCGUCGCCUACAUGCACGGCUGGGACCGGGAGGGCCACCCGGUCUGCUACAACGCCUACGGCGUCUUCAAGGACAGGGACAUGUACGACCGCGUCUUCGGCGACGGCGAGCGCCUCGCCCGCUUCCUCCGCUGGCGCGUCCAGGUCAUGGAGCGCGGCGUCCGCGCGCUCCACCUCCGCCCCGGCGGCGUCAACGCCAUCAUCCAGGUCACCGACCUCAAGGACAUGCCCAAGCGCGAGCUCCGCGCCGCGUCCAACCAGAUCCUCUCCCUCUUCCAGGACAACUACCCUGAGAUGGUCGCGCGCAAGGUAACAAACAUACCAACCACUGUCUUGUUUUCUAAUUUCUACUUACCGCCGCCUCAGGCAUUUCGUCGAACACCUACCUGACUCUGGCACUGCUUCCUCGCAGGUGUUCAUCAACGUGCCCUGGUACUUCUCGGUGCUGUUCUCCAUGAUCUCGCCGUUCCUCACGGAGCGCACCAAGAGCAAGUUCGUCAUCGCGCGCGAGGGCAACGUCGCCGAGACGCUCUUCAAGUGAGCACCAUUACACACCAUUUCGUUCCCCAUUUUGCUCGCCGCCGUCGCCGCGACACGCAGUUGAUUCUCGCUUUGCUCACUUGCAGGUUCAUCCGGCCGGAGCUGGUGCCGGUGCAGUACGGCGGGCUGAGCCGCGCCGGCGACCUGGAGAACGG